UUUUUUUUUUUUUUUUGAAGUGAGUAUUUCUUCUUCUUUAAAAAAAAAAAAAAAAAAAAAAAAACUUUAGCACCAACGCUAUCCGUCAAAUCAACCGCUUCAAUUUCCUUUCUGUCCUAUAUAUCUCUCCCUAUUCUUUCUUUUUUGGCCAAAUUUCCAACUCCCAAACUAAGCCUGAAUUCAUUCUAAAGUGGUUUAUAUAUUGUGGUGCAUAAAAAAAAACGAUAAAGAAAUACCAAGGCUAUGAUUUCUUGAAGCAUAGAAAAUUAGGAUAUUAUUGUCAUACAUACAACCUCCACCGAGUUUCUAAGUUCCACACAUAAAAUGGUCUGAUUCCAAACCUGAAUGAAAUUGUGAAUCAUGUCCUCCAAGUUCUAAUUAAUCAGGAGGAACCAUCACAAGUAAAAAUAGACUACAGCUUGUGCAACAUCAAGUGAGCCCCGAACUGGGGUUGAAUUGCUAUGGUUAGGUGAGGGGCAUGAGAAUAAGAUGGCGAAAGUUCAAACGAGAAGCGCUGCAGAAUCAUAGCUAGUGCCAAUUUUGCUUCCAACAUAGCAAAGUUUUGGCCAAUGCAGAUACGAGGUCCCCAGCCAAAUGGGAAGUAUACAAUUUGGCCCUUUGUUGCACUUGAGACUCCAUCAGCGAACCUCUCUGGCUUAAAUUCCUUGACAUCCUCGCCCCAUAUUUCAGGGUCGUGAUGCAAUAAUAUCAUUGGUAGUGUCAGUAGCUGUCCAGCAGGGAUAGUUAGAUUUCCUAUUUUAGUUUCUUCUGCAACUGAUCGACCUAUAUUAGGAAAUGGUGGGUAUAGCCUUAAAACCUCAUGUAAGAUCAUUGUAACCUGUGACAGAUCAAAGAGACUAAUUAGACAAUUUAUAGGCAAAUUAGAACUAAGCAUCAGUGAAUUGGAACGUUUUUUUUCAUUGUAUGAUUUGUCAUGAAAUUCCGCACAUAAUUGACUUACAAUCUUGAGCUGAUUUAGUCCAUCAAAGUUUGGCAUGUCAGUCCCGAAAUGUUGCAAAACCUCUUCUCUUGCACGUUCUUGCCAGUCAGGAUGCAUGCUCAGUAAGAUCAUUGUCCAAACAAGCAGCACAGCAGUGGUCUCCUGCCCAGCAAAAUAGAACAGCUUGCACUCUUGAAUGAUUUCUCCUGUAGUCAUGCCAGAUUCCCCGUCAGUUUCUUGAGAAGUGGAUUCAAGUAAUAUACCUAACAUGUCAGCAUCAAUGGCUUCUCCUGCUCUCAGUGCCUUUAGUCUUGCAUUGAUAAUUUCCCUGAUUGAACCUUCAACUUCUUUUGCAAUUUGUUUCAUUCUUCUGUUCCUUUUAGUUGGCAAGAACCUGUGAAAAUAUAAUUACGUUAGCAAAGUGCCAAAAAGAAAAGAAGGAAAAAAAAAAAAAAAAAAAAAACUCUCUUCUCACCUGUGAUUUAAUGUUUUUCUACAUAACCCCCUAUGAUUUUAAAAACUAUACAUAAUUCCCUUAUAAUUUGGAUUAAAGUGUCAAAGUGACAAAAUAGUCAUUUGCAACGGAACUUUUAAAAAUAUCGAAAUUACCCUUAUAAAUAUAUGACACACUAACCCGGUAUGAUUAUUAUAUUUUACCAUAUAAUCCCCUUAUGAUUUAAUACUUUAUCAUAUAACCCCCUUAUAGUUUUCAAAAUAUACACAUAACCCCCCUUAGUUAAUAAAUAAUUUUCAACUUUACAUAAAAGUAUUUUUGACAUUUUAGGUGACUCUAUUAAGAAUGAUUAUUUCCGUCACUUUGACACUUUAAUUCAAACCAUAAGAGGGUUAUGUAUAACUUUUGAAACUAUACGGGGGUUAUGUAAAAAAUCACUAAAUCACAGGAGGGUAAAGUGUAAGUUGCCCCCCAAAAAAACUGUCUUUGCUUGAUUUGCUCUUUUGGAAAAGUUUCUUUCUCCCAACAUAUUAUUCUAACACGGUUUCCAACCAUUUUUUUAAAUCACUCAUACACUACAAAAUCCAUGCAUAGAAAAAUGGUAGAUUUUAGUUAUAGCAGUUUUAUCAUAUUGGGCAACCGAACUUGAUUUGUACCCAUAAAUGACUAAUUUUACUUUUUAUUCGUUUUUGUUUGUAAAAUGACUUUACCUCGACCCAGGAAUAUAUAUGGACCUUGUCGCCUCGACCAGAUGUCUAGCUUGUUCUCUCUGUAACUCGAAUAUCUUUCUUCCUUCCUCAUAUCUGCUGCCAAAUGCUGUUCGUGAAAUUGCAUCGCUAGUCAUAGUCUGAAUAUUAGGCCAAACAUCCACCACCUCAAAUGACCCUUUCACCGAAAUCAUCUCCUCCCAUUUGCUCAACAUCUCACUUGCACUUUUGUAGAAUGCUGGUACCAUAAGCUGCAUCCAAUAAUAGCCCAUUUGGAUUCCUAUUUUCUAGAGUUUUUGUUAAAAAAUAUAGGGUUAAAUACCAAAAACCCCCCUGUGAUUUGCCUAAUGUUCACUUUACCUCCCUAUACUUUGGAAACCUACAAUUUGACUCCCUGUCGUUUCAACUAAAGUGUAUUUAACGAAAUUUCUGUUAGAUUUUCACUUUAGGUGAAACGACAGGGAGUUAAAUUAUAUAUUUUCAAACCAUAGGGAGGUAAAGUGUACAUUUGACAAGCCACAAGGGGGGUUUUGGUACCUAACGCAAAACCCUUAUAGAGGGGCAAUUUUGACAUUUUCCUUUCAGACGUUAGUUUAGAUGUUUUCCGUUAGACUUUUACUUUAAUUGAAACGACAGGGAGUCAAAUUGUAAGUUUCCAAACCAUAGGGAGGUAAAGUGAACAUUAGGCAAACUACAGGGGGAUUUUUGGUAUUUAACCCAAAAAUAUAUUGUAACGAUUUGAUGCAAAUGAGAUAAAAGAUUAUUAGGUAAUGCAUUUACGAAAAACGUAAAAAAUUUUUGGAGAAAAAUCGCAUUCCAAACAAGACUACGUAGGCAUAGGUUUUUUUUUUCUUUCCAAUUAUUUUGUAUUUUCAGUAAACAAAUGUGAGAAAAUUAUAAGAGAAACCUUCAACUUCUCCGUGUGGAAAGCUUGAUUGAGGAGUUUUCUUUGCUUUGCCCAUUUCUCCCCCUCGUAGACCAGUAUCCCUCCGAUCAGCAAUCUGGCUUGUGGACGGAAUCUAACCUUUUGAAAAAUAUCCAUCUUAUGGGUAACUUUCCUUAUGAGUUCAGGAUCCAUGAUCAGCAUCAUUGGUCUUGGCCCAAACCAUAAGUAGGUAUUCUUACCUACAAAUCAAUAAUACACUGACUUUUUUAUUAAAAAAAAAACCCUAAAAGUCAAAUUAGCAAUCAGUAAUAAUUGUAUUGCAACAACUACGCACCUCUGAUGUGAAAUCCAAGCUAGCUAAAGUGUCAAUCUUUAGAAAUAAACUUAGCUAUGUUAAGCAACUGAGCCCAGAAAUUUAUACUUUUCACUCACUUAAAAUCACUUAUGGGAAAUCAACGAAAUGAAUUAGUAGUAGAUGGAUAACAACUUACCAUAUUUAUUAACAGCUUCUAGGAAAUGAGGUACGAUUCUUGGUACGAUGUCGUCAGAGAGACUGAUAGGCUUUGAGUUGGCUUCUUGGAACAAGGAUGAUAUCUGUUUGAAGUCUCCAUAGAUCAGUUUGUAAGGGUUCCCCUUAAAACCUUGUUGUUUGAGAUGCUUCUGGAGCUUUUUGGGCUGAAACCAUGCCCAGUUCAACGCUCUCCAUGCCAAUACUGAGAGAACAACACAACAAGAAGAAACAAGUGCAAUCAUGAAGCUGUGAGCUGCUUCCAUUUUGAGUUUUUGGUUUUCUUUCUUUUCUGGGUUUAUUUGUCAACCUCCUUAUCUCCAUAUUUAUAAAGGGUGAUUGGGAGAAAGAUUAUUUUAGUCACUGUUGGUUGAAUUCAAUUGCCAGCUGUUGCAUUCAGUCGUGGUUGUGCCUUGUGGACAAAGUAUAUGUCCUAGAAAAGGAGGAAGAAAAUUAAGUCGAAAAAUCAGUAGUUGCUUCGGCACGACAAGGCUGACUGACCCAAUAGUGAUAACGUGACCAGUCCAGCAAAUCUAGCCCUUCAUUGGUAAAAUAGAAGUAACGUAACAUGAAACACAAGGAUUGCAAUUUUUCAGAGUUUUUUUUAAGAAAAAUAUACUGUAACAAUUUGAUAUAUGUAAGGUAAAAAAGUGAAUAAAAAAUAUGUUCAAAGAAAACGCGUUCACAAAAAACAUAGUCAUUUUUUGUUGAAAAAUUACUUUCUAAACAAGAUCUUAUUUAUAUUGUAGUUUUGUAAGGAAAAAUUCUUACGUUUUUUAUAAGUAUAUUUUUCAAUAUUUUUAGUUUAUGUAUAUCAAAUCGUUACCAUACAUUAUUUUAUAAAAAUUGCAAAAAAAAUAGCAAUCUAAACGGGACAAUAAUUCCUCCAAAGACUGGAAAAAUAGCAUGCGUGUGUGUGUGGAUGUGUGUGUCUAUCAAGGUCACCUAUAGAAUCCCAAAUCCGGAGAUUCCCCUCGCAACUCAAGUCCUACAUGUGAGAGUCAGCCAAGCCAACAAUGCAACUGUUGGGCUACUAAAAUCAUUUAAUGGCUUCAAAUAAGCCUUAAUAAUAUCCGAUAAUCUACACUCCAAUUCAGAUAGAGGAAGCCGAUUAUUCAAAAUGGCUAGUAAUUAGCUUGUGAAGAUAUUAAGUGUGUUCAACUAAACUUUUCAGAAUUAAGAGAUAAGGACACCAUCUUUAUCAUAAAAGGAUGGAUUGACCUUCAGCCUGAAAGCUGAAAAGGAGUCAUCGGAAAGAUCAGUAUAAAAGGAAGAGACGGAUCAACAAAAAAAACAAUCACGACAAAAGCUUCGCCCAUCCCAUAUCGGUUGAUCGUGGGGUCUUUACUCUGAGUUUAAAUUCCAUGGAAGCACCUUCCUGUCACCAAUUGGUUGGAUGGGUGUUACUUGUGGGUCCCGCUUAGAUUGUCUACUGGGCCGAUUUAACUGCUAACUCUGCGUGUCUCUCAUUAUUGUGUGUGUGUGUUGUAUUUUGAAAGAAAGAAAAAUUCACCGGACGGUGGUGGGGUUGGAUCACCAUCCCACAUCGGUUGAUCGUGGGAUCUUUACUCUGAGUUUAAAUUCAUGCUAACUCUGCGUGUCUCUCAUUAUUGUGUGUGUGUAAAGUCCAGCUCUAUGGUUAGAUCCCAGUUCGGCUUGGUUCACCAACUUGGUAAAUCAAGCCAACUAGUUAAACGUAACUUGAAUAGCGUUUUAUGUUAGAUAACAUUCAAAUUCAAUAAAGAAAAACCUCGCUCAAAUUCGAUUCGAUAAAUAAACAAACCAAGUUUGAAUAAAAUUUAAAACUUGUUAAAAUAAUCAAAUAAAAUUGAACAUCAGAGUAUUUGUUUUGAUUAGGAUCAUUUAGUGUAAUUUUACAAAUCUCAAGGGAGAUUAGUGUAAUUUUACAAACCUCAAGCGCGAUCAGUGUGGUGAAAUUGUCAGAAACCUCAAGGGGGGCUUCUAAAAUUAUCCCAAAGUAUAAUUGCACAACAAUAAUAUUAACUGCAGUAGUAGUUCAUAAUGACUCUACUGAUUUUCUUGAUCACCUAAGCAAAUGAAAGGUCUCUAUAAACAGUAUGUGAUUAGAUGUAAUAUCACUCUUCUAUACGCGAGAAAUAUAAUGUUAUACCAAGCUAACGUUAAUUUCCAAGCAGAAUUAAGCAUACAAGGUGCUUUAUGUCGGUGAUACAUCAAAUGUUGCCCCAAGGACUAACAAGUCGCAUAUCGGCCUGAACACUAUACUUUCCGCAGAAUCAAGUGAGCUCCAUACUGGGGUCGAAGUGUUACUGCUACUCGGGGAGAAUGAGCAUAAGAUGGUGAAAGUUCAAAGGAGAAGCGUUGCAGAAUCAUAGACAUCGCCAGUUUUGCUUCCAACAUGGCAAAAUUUUGUCCAAUGCAAAUGCGAGGUCCCCAGCCAAAUGGCCAGAACGCAAGUCGGCCCUUGGUUGCAUGUGAUACCCCUUCAGCAAACCUCUCCGGCUUAAAUUCCUUCACAUCCUCGCCCCAUAUAUCAGGGUCAUGAUGCAUUAACAUUAUUGGCAGCACGAGUAGUACCCCAACCGGGAUAGUUAAAUUUCCUAAUUUAGUUUCUUCGGCAAUUCUUCGAGCUGUUGCAGUAAUUGGAGGACAUAACCUUAAAACCUCAUGCAAGAUCAUGUUGACCUAUGACAAGAGAACAAAAAUUGUGAGAGUAAUAAGAUCUCCAAGUAGAUGAAAAUUUUGGACGAAUUUCUUUAGUUCGCAUCUGCUGUUAUUAGUGCAAAUUUUUUAAAUCAAUGAAACGGCCAUUGUUAUUUAUUAAAAAAGAAUUGACUCACAAUUUUGAGCUGAUUUAGCCCAUCAAAUUCUGGAUCGUUUGCUCCAAAAUGUUGCAAAACCUCUUCUCUAGCACGUGCCUGCCAAUCGGGGUACCUAGAGAGGUAGAUCAUUGUCCAGACAAGUAGUGCAGAAGUAGUCUCCUGGCCAGCCAAGUAGAACAGCUUGCACUCGUCAAUGAUUUCUUCCGUAGUCAUACCAUAGUCCUUGUUUCCAUGCUUCUCAAUUUCUUGAGAAUUGGAUUGAAGCAUUAAUCCUAACAAGUUGUCCGUACGGGCUUCUCCUGCUCUCAUUGCUUUUUUUCUUGUGUCGAUCAUUUCCCGAAUUGAAUCAUUAACUUCUUUGGUAAUUUGUUUCAUUCUUCUGUGCCUCUUGGUUGGCAAGAACCUAAGUAAAUACACGUAAUUUAGCAAUGGGGAAAAAGAAGAACUAGGUUUGCCACUAUUCUUGUGGCCCCAUUUUUAGAAGCAUUUGGGCACAUCUCCAACAUUAAAACUGCCACUUAAAGGUAAUCUUUAAUAUGUCAAUCUGGAUCCUGGAUGAUGACAAAUUGUACAAAUAGUGUGAUAAGUGCUUCCAAAGAAUAAAAAAAAUGCAUGAUCAAUGUUAAUUAUCACAAUUUCAUUGAGCUAGCACUCAAGAAUUCAUGAUCAGUUUACCUGAAUCCUGGGAUGUAGAUGUACACCGAGCCUCCAGCCUCGACGAUAUGCUCAGCUUGCUCUCUUUGGAGUUCAAAGAUCCUUCUUCCUUCUUCAUAGUUGCUGCCAAAUGCUGUUCGAGAAAUUGCAUCGCUGGUUAGAGCUUGAAGAUUUGGCCAAACAUCCACUUCAGCCGACCCCUUUGGUGAAACAACUUUCUCCCAUUUGUUCACCACCUCACUUGCACGUUUAUGAAAGGCUGGGAGCAUAAGCUAUUUAUCCAUAACAGAUAAACGUAAUCAAUGAAAGAAAACACUCCAUUGAAGGACAAAUGGAUGGAUUUGUCUAACAGGUGUCGAAUUGAUACUUAUCAAAAAAGAGAUUUCAGUUUUUUUUUUUUUUUUUGAAAAUUAGAAUUAGAUAUGCAUAAAGGGAAAAACGUACAUGAGACCAUGCAUUUACAUAGUAUUUUGCAGUAAAUUAGGGACACUAAUGACCCAUUAGAUAAAUCCAUAAAUGAUUAAAUUAGAGAGAACCUUCAAUUUCUCAAUAUGGAAAGCUGGGUUGAGGAGUUUCCUGUGUUGGGUCCAUUUAUCCCCUUCAUACAUCACUAUUCCUGGAGUCAGCAUUCUUCUAAGUGGAUUUCCAUGUGGCUUCUGGAAAACAUAUACCUUUUGUGUAAUUUCCUUCACUUGCUCAGGGUCCAUGAUCACCAUGGCAGGCUUCGGCCCAAGCCAUAAAUAUGUUUUCUUUCCUGGAAACCACAAUAUCAUGUAUUAUAAAAUAAAGGGUUAAUUACAUUUACUUCCCCUGAGGUUUGACCAUAUUACCAAUCAAUCCCUAUAAUUUGUCCAAAUAACGGUCUCACCCUUUGAAUGAUCAAACAUUUAACAAAAACCCUCUUAAUGCCGAAAAUGCCCUUAUUGAGGCCAUGUUCCAUUAAAAAAAGAACAUAUUUUUAUUUUAUUAACCCAGAAGCAAUCCAAAAAAAUAGAAAAAAGUUUUUGCUUAUUAUUUUAUAAAAACCAUAUCUUUGCUUCCAUAAAUAGUUUUGAAUCAAUAAUUAUUUUAAAUCUUAAAAAUGAAUAUUAAAAAUUAGAUAAAUUGAAAGAAAAAUAAAAAAAAAAGAAAUUAUUUUAAUUCCUGAAGUAUAGUUCAAAUUGAUGAAAACAUGCAUUGUGCUCUCCGCAACAUGCCUUGAACCACAAAUUCGAACCAUACUUGAGGAUUUAAAAUAAUUGCUUCUUUUUAUUUUUCUUUCAAUUUAUCUAAUUUUUAAUAUUCAUUUUUAAGAUUUAAAAUAAUUAUUGAUUCAAAAUUAUUUAUGGAAGCAAAGAUAUGAUUUUUAUAAAAUAAUAAGCAAAAAUUUUUUGAUGAUUUUUUUGGAUUAUUUGAAAGUUAAUAAAUAAAAAUAUGUUCUUUUUUUAAUGCAAUAUGGCCUAAAAAAGGGCAUUUUCGGCAUUAAGGGAGUUUUUGUUAAAUAUUUCAUCAUUCAAAAGGUGAGACCGUUAUUUGGACAAAUUACAUGGAUUGACUGAUAAUAUGAUCAAACCUCAGGGGAGGUAAAUGUAAUUAACCCUAAAAUAAACCACCUCUUUUGGCUCAAGACUAGAAAGUACUGAUUUAAAGUAAUCUAACAAAGAGUCUAACAAAGAUAAAAGAAAUAUAAAGUGCAUUGAGGAUGUCCUUAUCGUAGUAGCGCGUAGGACGCAAUAUCAAGCGUAUUAAUGCUAAAAAAAUGAAGAAAAAGGAAAAUCGUAUUCCCUCCUAUUAGUACUACAUUAUUUUAUUGUAAAUUAUAUCUCAUUCAAUUUUUUUAUAACGUUAAAAGGAAAAAGAGAAAAGAAAUGGUCACAAAUAUUCUUUUUUUUUCUAAUCGAUAUUGAGUCAUAAAUCUCGUAAAAGGUGUGGAUGAACAGAAUCUGCUUUUUAGUUUUCUUUAAAAAAAAACGGAAAAAGAAAUCAUAGGAGGCAGAGGGGGGAUGUAUAUUGAGGUGAUGAAGCAGAGGCGAAAAGAACAUACCAUAUUUCUUAACGGCUCCAAGAUAUUGAGGAAUAACUCUUGGUACGAUGUCGUCGGAGAGAUUAAGAUUCUUGGAUUGGGCUUCUUUAUGCAGGGUUGACAUCUCUUUGAUGUCUCCAUGGAGCAGCUUGUAAGGGUUUCCCCUGAAACCUUGCUCUUUCAGACGUUUCUCCAGCUUCCUCGGCCUAAACCAUACCCAGUUCAAAGCUUUCCAUGAUACUGCUACUACUACCAGAAGAAGACAAGAAGAAUAUACAGUAUAGGCUGAUAGAUUGGCGGUUUCCAUGUUGUGUUUUUGUUUUCUUGCUUUUUCUUUUGUUGGAAGAUUUCUACCUUUGUUGUGUGUAUAUCUAUAUGUUGGAGUGGGGGCGAUGAUCUCAUUUACUCCACUUCGAGACAAAGGAAAUGAUUUUUUUUUAAAAAAAAAAAAGAGAGAUGAUAAUUGUCAAAAGAGAAGGGAGAAAAGUUGGACAUCUGUGCUCAGCAAAUUUGACCUAGAUGAUGUUCCUAUAUGGCUGUGGUACAUCAGGUGGAGCCUAUCUCAAAAUUUUGGAUUUUAGAGCAAUUAUCCGGUGCAGAUAAAGCUGGCGAAUUUCGUUAAAAUGAGAAAAUAUCACAAAAGUGGUGUUAAUUGAGGUUGGAUUCUAGUUUAAGAAAUCGCCAUAAAUGGUAAAAUAGGAUUCAUUAAAAAAUUAUUUUUAAAUUUCAUUUUUUUUAGAUAGAGGAAGUAAAAGGAGGGAUUUUUUUUUUUUUUUUUAAUGAAUAGGCUUCGCCGCACCUCAAAUGAGCGGCAAAGCCUCUAUUGUUAGAAAAGAAUUGCCGCCGAUUUGAGGUGCCGCGAUCCUAAUUUUUUAAUUUCUAAAAAGGAAUCCCGCAAAGCCCAAAAGUUCUCCAAAAUACAUUUUUCAAUGAAUUCUGUCCAAUCAAUUCACCUUUUUAUAUCCUCAACUAUUUUUUAUCUAACAUAUAUCAUAACACAAAAAUACUAUAAUAAUUACUCCAAAUAAUACUCCAUCCAAACCCACUCAUUUUUGCUUGCAACAUAGGGUCAAUGGGACUGGUUCGCCACGUGUGCCGCCCAAUACUUUUAGAGCUGAAACAUGUUCCGAAAGGAGCAACUGAUGCCACCCUAGUGACAUUAGAAAGCUCUUCAGCAAAAGCCUUGGAAACUGCAUAAAAUAUUGAAAUUUCCACCAUUGCCUCUCUUGUCAAUGGCCAACAAGUGCAAUCAAGAAGCUGUGGGUUGUUUUCAUUUUGAAUUUUUUGGUAAUGUGUUUGAGUUUAUUUUCAUAAUAACCUCAUUCUUAAAAACUAUUCCCAAACUAAUGCACUUUUAAAAUAUAUUCCCUUAUUAAUCUACUUGUUGUCACGUGGACUUUCCGUAUGAAAAGUAUUAACAUUUCUAUCUUAUAUUAAGAGGUACAAUCCACAUCAAUAGAUUUUAAUUCCCUUUCAAUAGUUCAAAUUUUGCUACUUAUGUACAAUCUUAAAGAUAAAUAAAAAUAUUUCUCUAUCUAUUAUUGAGUUAAUUAGUAUUUCUCACAUUAGAUUGGCUCAUGUAGCGUGUUAAUUUUGAUACUAACACUGAUCUAGUUAUAUUUUCUCUCUCCUAUUUUUUUGAAAUGUAUUCUCUUUUGAUAAGUCAAAAAAUGCAAGAGAAUUUUUUCAAAUUUCCUUUCCCCUUAUAGUGGAAUUUUUAUAGUUCACGUAAACUAUGAUUAUUAUGAAUCUUGUUUACUCGUACUUCAAACAAUUUGAGUUUUUGCAAACUUCUUAAAAUUUACAAAGUUAGGAGGCUACGAUAUUGCAAGUAACAAGAAAAAAAGAAAGGAACUUGUGAUAUAAUAAUCAAGAAUAAAGCUAGGAAGGAAUAAUGGCAGCAAAAAAAAAAAAAAAAAAGAGAGGUUCUUCAGCAAAAUCAUUGCAAUUUGAAGGGUGAUCAACAAUUUUAAAAUACUAAUUAUGGAUCCACUUUCCUUUUUUAAUCUGUUUACAGAAUGUCCUUAAAGUACUAAAUAAAGAAAAACUGCAUAAUAUAUAAACAAAAGAUGUACAAGUUAUUUUUUUCCUUUCGUGGGGAGUCUACAUGGCAAUAACUAGAUUAAUAAGGAAAUAAAAACUGAAAGAGCAUUACUUUGGGAUUAUUUUUUGAAAACUAGAUUAUUUUAGCCAAAAACUCAAUGUGUUUUGUGUUAAUUGUCAACCUUCUUAUCUCCAUAUAUAUAUAUAUAUAUAUAUACACACACACACACACACACAUUUAUACAGGGUGCUUGGGGUGAUCAGGAUUAUUUUAGUCAUUGUACAAUUAAAUAUAGCAGCUGAUACGUUUACUUGGAGAGGGAAAAUGGAGCAAAAGUUGAAAAAAUUGGCUGUUUCUGCGUGACAAGGCAGACCAGCCAAUCGAGUUCUAGCAUUCCUAAUAUCAUAUGAAUAAGUGGAUGAGGUCCGUGAAGGUGACAAGUCAAGCAAAUAUGACCCUUAAUUGGUAUUUAGCAGUAAGCCAGUAACUUAACAUGAGAGACGAAAGAACGUCCAUAUAGUACUACUACUAUAAGAUCUCAAGGCUGAAAAAUUGCUUAACUCAGAAGGAUGAAAAACUGGAAAGAGUCAAUCCCUAUCUCUUGUCAUCAUGGUACGAAUAAGGAUUAAAAAUUUGGGAAAGGAUUAAAGGAGCCAGCACUAACCAAAGCCUCUGAGAUGGGAGCAAUUUAUUGACCUGGAGUUCAUUUAACCAUCAACGGGCAUAGACCGUCAUUUCUUUUCAAAGAAUUUGCCUCAGGUUUCCCUAUCUUUUUUAGUUUUGGGAGUGUAAGUCUAUUAUUUACCAACCUCAUUCUUCUCCAUGCGUAUUUGUAAUGGCUGUGGCCGUCCGGAGAUCAUCAAGUUAUUAUAAUUGUUUUCUGCAAUCACAAGCUGGUCCAUUUUUUUUUUGGGACGAGAAAUAAGAGGAAAAAAAAAAAAACAAGAACGAAGAAGAGGUCAUUUAUCACGUUAAAGAACGAAGAAAACUCGGAAAGUAUUUGUUUAGCAUGGCAAGGGUGACCAAAAACAAGUAAUUGAGAUCCUCGAUAUUACUUUUUCAGUGAUAAUCUAGUGUUAUUUUUAAAAUUAUGUCAAGUGUUCAAUUAAUUUAAUUUAUUAUUAAAAUUUAAUUUUAACUUAAAUUAACUAAAUACUUAUUAUCGGAUGAAAAAGUGAUACCGAAUUGCUGAUUUCUACCUUGUAUAUAAGAAGGAAAUGAGGUUUAGUUCUUUGUCUCCCUUGUUGCCACUUGACUUUUCAAUAAUUUGACAAGUGGCAAAAGUCUAAUAUUUAUCUUGCAUAUGGUUUCCUUGCCUCAUGCAUAUCCCCCUCUUUUUUUUUCUUUUUUUUUUUUCAUGCCAAACUGAGCAAGUUUGGCUCUUUUAUUCUCCUUUUGAGCCUAACGAAUUUUUUUAACCUUAAUGAUUUGACUAAGUGAGUCUAUUGUUUAAUUCAUCACCGUUAGAUUAGUUUUAAUACAAUAACACUACAUUAUAACCCUUGGAUCAAUUUUCAUUCGUUCUAAUUGUCUACCUAUUAUAUAAGAGACAUGGGAAUUUAAUGUAACACUCUCAUUUAUUGACAUGUGAUGUAACUCUCCUCUGAGGAAUCUAUGAUUUUUCUUCUAUUUUUUAUUUCCCUACUUCUAUCUUGAUGGAGCAAGACAAAAGAUGUACCAUACAGGAUAAGACAAAAGAUUUCAAUUGCAAGUCAUGUUGCAUAACUACAAGAACUUCUAUUGUUUUUAUAUAUUAUCUAAUUUAUGACUAUAAGAUCAACCUUUAUAGAUUAAUGAAAAAAUUUUAAUCCUUGGACAUUGAUUAAUUAUGUUUGAUUAGUAGCUAGCCAACUAUUACAUUUAAACAACUCUUUUAUGUAAUCAAUUUAAGUCUCUUUUUCUAUUUCUUUAUAAAUUGUUUCUCAAUGUUGCAUAGAAAAAAUCAGAUUUCUUCCUUCCCAAUUGCAUUCAACUAUGCACUUGUUUAUUAAUCUCAAGAUUAGUGAUGGAUUUAAUAGAUGCUAUAUUUAUUGUCUCCUUGAUUUAGAAAAGUUAACUUCAUAGAUAAAAUUUCUUCUGAUGCUCAAUUUUUCUCGUGUUUUUGUUUAUUAUGUGCUGAAAAAUUUUGCUGUUAUAUGUUCAAUUAAAUUAUUAGGGGCCUAGGCUGUGCCUUGCACAGCCGAGGUACCUCUAGUGAUGUAACAAGAACAUGUGUGGUACUAAUUCUUCGGUGGUUCCCGUGCCAUGUGCCAUGCCACGUUGGAUGUCUGGUUAGUGACGGGUCCCAUUUCUUCGGCACCACACUAAUAGAUUCGCACGAUUGAUUUGACAAAAAAUAUAUAUAUAAGGUCCAUAUCAUAAUUUAUAUAUCGAUUUCAACAUCAUGUAUGAAACUUAUAAAAUUUUGUUCUAUAGUUACAAGUUAUUAAAAGUUAGUUAAAACUGAAAAAUCGUCAAGAAUAGUUUUCUUGAUGACUAUCUAAGCUCUUGCUCCGAUCGACAUUGUGUGACUAGGGCAAAGGGUAAUUAAGAUGUUUUACAAAAUAUCAAAUGUUUUUAAAUUGGCAGUAUGAACCAUUUUGAAUUCCCUAGUCAUGAACUAGUUCAACUUACACUCUGAGUUUUGAAUUAUCAAACUUCCCUAAAUCUUGAGUUAUUAAAAAGAAAGAAGGUCUCACUACUUCGUAUAAAACUAGAGUGGGAUUAUGUGGAUAUAUGUACAAAACCUUCCUAUAUGUACAAAACUAUAGGAAGGUAAAGUGGAUAUUUGUGCAAAACUAAAAGGGGUUAAGCAGAUAUUAUAAAUUUACCACGUGCAUUUUUGGAUAACCUGUGACAUUUCAGAUGAUCAACAUUCAGCUUCCAGCCCUCCAACAAAGUAUAUUUAACUAGCUCUGAAAGUAUCAAUUCAAAAGCAAUUAAAUACAGUAUACCAGGCUAUUCAGGAUUCUCUGCAUGUCCUCGUUUACUAUUUGGAAUACUCAUUUUCAGGUUUGGAGGUUGUCUGGCGGCAUUUUUUUUUUAUACAGCAUAUAUGGCAUAAUAUCGUGUCAUCUAUGGUAAAGUUUUCAUACUUCAGGUGAUGUUCAACAUUAAUCUAUGUCCAUGUUCUGGUCAUCUCUUCUUGUUUGUUUUGCAUUAAGGGCUAGUUUGGUAGGAAACAUGCGGGUAAUAAAGAACAGAAAAGAAAAGAAACCAUUGUGUUUCCCCUCUUGUUAAGUGUUUUCAAAGGGUUGAAGAGAAGAGAAGCAGAGUAAAACUGAAUCAAAACAAGCUCAAUGGAGUCGAUAAAUGCUUUCACAAUCAAUUUAAUGAGAAAGUAAAACCAUGAAGUCGUUUGGCUGAUAGGACCGGCUCUGGAGUCUCAUAUCAAGAUAAGUGAAAAAGUAAGUACAGGGUCUGAUGGAAAGAGAUACUGGUUAAAACUAAAUCAUGAGAAAGUAAAACCAUGAAGUCGUUUGGCUGAUCAAACAAAGCAGAUUAUGUUUAUAAGAAACCUGAAGGUUAAAGAUACUAACUUACCUGCUACCAUCGCCAAAUUUACAGGCAAUCGGCAACCAGCAAUCAAAGGCAAACUGCUUAGGUUUAGCAUGAACCCAACAACCAAUUAUGAGAUCUUCUGUGAGAACAUUUAGAAGUGUUUCUCGAUUUGUUUUUCAGAGCCCCAUUUUGAAGCAGUUAUUCGUAACCCUCUCUCUUUGAUAUCAAAAUAAAAUAAAAUAAAAAUAUUGCACUUCCAACAUUGUUCCACCAUUCUUCACCAAUCAUUCUCCCAUCCAUCACAGUUAGCCUCAGGAACCGAUUGCUUCACCCAUUCUUCAGAAUUCUUUGCAGAUAAUUCUUGCUCGCUAAAGCCACCGCAUAAAUAUGCUGAAUAAUUCUGUUCAGAUAUUCUAAGAGAAAGAAAACUUUCAAGUUUUUCCUGAUCAUCAAACUCAUCAUUCCUGUAUCAAGAAAGGACUUGCAUUAGAAUGCCACAUUCCAAACUGGUAGCUCUGAAGAACUAAAGAAAGCAAAGAAAAAUCAGUUAUGGAAGGAAAUACAGACCAUGGUCCAUCACCAUUAACUAGGUUUUUUUCUAACAUAAAUAGAACAAUGGCCUUCUUAAGACAAAAGAUACAUAGCUUCCAUUGAAAUAUUAACAUUGUUCUAAUGGUACUUACAUAAAAGCAUAAAAGGAAUGCCCUAUCCUGACUUAAUUAAAGAUAACAGAUAGUAAGCCUCAACAUGGAAGAGUUACAACAUGAAGUUCCAAUUCCUCAAGUCCCUAAAAUGUACUCACAGAGAGUGAUGCAGUAUAGAAACUACCAAUGUAAGUGAGAAGCCAAUGCAGUACAGAAACUACCAAUGCAAGUGAGAAAGCAAAAUUUCAAUCACCAAUGUGUCUGAGAACCCAAAUAUUUUAACGAUAAGCAUAAUCUUGCCUGUUCUUGACCGCAUGCAAGUCAGCAGACUGUUCUUCUUCUUGUUCAUUUCCAGAGGUAAUUAAUUCUCGUGCUAAAGCUGCACUUUCAGCUUCAAGCAAAACCAAACUCUCCAUAUAACUGCCCACAUGAAACCCAUCUACUGCACCGCGAAGUCUAAGGUUAUUAAUCCUUGAGGUAAUGAGGUCAUAUGAAAGCAGCUUACCCCGAAUGGUUACUCCAAUGACUUCAUCAUUUCUCAGAAAACCAAUCAAGUUCCGCAAUCCUCCCCUUAGGUCAACGGUAUACAGUUUUUUCCAAGAAUUAGCCAAUCCAUACUCUUCCAUUACCCACACAGAGUAAAAGUUCUUAUGGGUACCAUAGUCAUAAUGUAACACUGCAAGCUUACCCCAAAAAACCGUAAUAUACACAUCCCAUGCAUGCUGCUCCAGACAACUAGGAAGCAUAACCUCCCGAAACACCUCAUCACUCAAAUCAAACGCCACAAUCAGCCCACAACUCUCAUUCCCUUUCACCACACACGGAUCAUAACCAAUCCAAUGCACAGCUCCAUUCACAAAUGCCUGCAACCAAGUAUACCCGAAUAUCCCAUAAGGAGGAGCACCAGCAUUAAAACUCCUCCACGACCGUGAAUUCAAGCUAUACAACUCAACCUCAGGAGGUAUCAAAUCUCGCCCACUUCGCCCCUUUUUAUAAGCCACUCUAACCACCUUAUAAUCCGUUCUUUUCAUCACAUCCAAAUCCAAGAACAUACAUAUAAGAACCAUAACUCCUACUAGUAACCCGGGGGUUCGGCAAAUUCAGGAAUCUUUUAAUUGAAGGGUUCCAGAGAAUAAUCCCAGAAGUAUCAAAAUCAUUGUCAUCAUUCAAGCAUAUUAGACCAUUGCAAGAAUCCACAAUCCUAAAGUGACAUUUUGAUCGAGUCUUAAAUGGGAAGUCUAAUUUCCUGCAAUUGUGCUCAUCAAAGAUAGAAUUUUUAUGAUCACUACUGUCAGUAAAUAGCCAGUAAUGUUCUUGCUGCCUUUCUUUCUCAAUCAAGUACCUCAGGAAAAGGGUGUGAGAGUGGGAUUGAUUGAUGGUUUUCUUGAUGUGAGCUGAAAUGAAGGUAGGGUUGGAAAUAAUGGAACUGAAAAGUUUGCAAACCGACCUGAUUUGGGGGAGGGUCUUGACUGGGAGUCUUGUGAAGAUGCCAGCCCACACUUCCUCUGGGAGAUGAUUUGACAUCCUUUUGCAACCUGUCGUUCAAAAAAAAGCACUAGAGGCCUAGCUUUUUGGGCAUCUGGGAUUGAACGAGAGGAAAAGGGGAGACCGGAGAAGCGGUGGCGGGGGAGCGAAGGGUGGUGGGAGAGGGUGGAGCUGAGAAAUUUAUAAUAGUUCCGUACAGCUUAGCCAAUAAAUAGUGCUGCAAUUCCGAUAAGUUAUCUAGUUUUUCCCCCCCAAGAAAAGAAAAGAAAAAAGGUUCUCAGUUUUUAGGACCUUUUGUGAUCCUUUGUUUUCCAUUUUAGUAGGGGAACAUGGACUAUUUUUCACUAAAUAUCUUCAUUUUAUUGAUUUGUUCUAAAAAAUUUUAGUACGGGAACAUGGUUUCGAUGAUUGAAGAAGCUUAUUCCCAGCCAAUCAAUCUUUCUGAUGAUCUUGUUCCCCGAGUUAUACCGAUGGUCACCAAAAUCAUCAAGAAGUAUGGUAUAAUCUAUUGAAUUCUUAUUGCAGAGAAUUCUUGAUAUUGUGAUGUAAGAUCAUAAAUGAUAGCAUUUUUUUCACGACACUAUGUCGUUGGUUUCCUGUUUUUAGAAAUUCUGCCGGUGGAUAUAUUUUCUGUGUCGACUUCGUUGGUUUAAUUUGCUUAGCAUGUCGAUCGCAGGUGGCAAUUCCUUCAUAUGGCUUGGUCCAUAUCCUGUAGUCAUCAUCCUAGAUUCUGAAUCUAUAAGGGAGAUCAUGGUGAAAUAUAAUCUCUUCCAGAAGCCUUACUUUCACCCGCUUGGCAAAUAUCUGAUACAAGGUCUAGUAGCAUCUGAGGGCAAGAAAUGGGCAAAACAUCGAAAGAUAAUCAAUCCUGCUUUCCAUCUAGAGAAGCUCAAGGUUUUACUUAACGUCUCUUUAUCAACUGCAAAGUCAUCUGUGUUAAUUCAUUGGAGAUGAUCAUAUAUUUUGAAUAACUGAUCUUAUGCUUAAAUAUUGAAUGAUCUCCUACAAUUUACAAUAUACUUCCCUUAUUUCCUGAUGCAAUUUUAUCCGCAAGAAGAAUGUAAAUCAAAUUUCAUCUGUAAAGUAGACAUCCAAUGCUGACAUUGUAAACCAACAACUAUUAACCUGAGAAAUUAUUUCUUUUCGAAAUAUAGCACUAACUAGGCUUAUCAUUCAUUCCUAUGAAUAGCUGAUGCUACCAGCUUUUCAUUUAUGUGCCACCGAAAUGUUGAGCAAAUGGGAGGAAAGUGUUUCACCAGAAGGAACCUGUGAAUUGGAUGUUUGGCCACACCGGCAGACUUUAACCAGCGAUGCAAUUUCUCGUACAGCAUUUGUGGUAAUUAUGAGGAAGGAAGAAAGAUCUUGAAGCUUCAAAAAGAACAGGCAGAGCAGGUUAUGACUGCUGUAAAAUCAUUCUAUUUUCCAGGAUCGAGGUAAAACUAGAUUUCUCAAUGCAUCUUCACGUUGUAUGGACAUGAAAAGCACACUACUUGCGGGAGUUUGAGUAUCAUUCCAGAUUGAAAAUUUUGACAUUCCUCAUUUCAAAGUUGAUUCAGUCAGUUUCGCUUCUUGUCUAUUGGUUUUUGCCAACUAAGAGGAACAGAAGGAUAAAGGAACUUCAUAAAAAAGUUGGAGCUGCAGUAAGAGAAGUUAUUGAUGAAAGAUUAGAAGCAAUGAAAGCAGGGGAAUCAAGUGAUAACGACUUACUGAGCAUACUACUGGAGUCUAAUCUUAAAGAGAUUGAACAAAAGGGGGAUAAAGUUUUGGUUUGAGCAUCAAUGAUGUAAUUGAAGAGUGCAAACAAUUCUAUUUUGCCGGGCAGGAGACAACCUCAUCCUCUCUUGUAUGGACAUCGGUUUUACUGAGCAGGCAUCAGAAGUGGCAAUCCCAGGCUAGGGAAGAGGUUUUGCAAGUUUUUGGGAGAGAUGAGUCAAAUUUCAAUGGCCUCAAUCUCCUCAAAGUUGUGAGUUCCUUCCAUAUGUUACCGUUGGCAUGAUCUGUUUGAAGUUACCUACCUGUUAGAACUUAGAAGAGUGCGUGGCUUCAAAUGAAACUCUUGAUUGCAGAAAAGAACAUUAACAUUCAGCUUAUUCUGUUCUAUAUACAUUUUUCAGUCUUUUACAGUAACACAGCUCUCUUAUGCUUUAGACCAUCACUACAUAGUAAAUUUCAGCAAUCUUCCUUUCUGCAUAGUUUAUGAUGACAUAUGGUUUCCCUUAUAAUCUUUAUUGCAGGUGACAAUGAUCUUGAACGAAGUUUUAAGACUAUACACUCCACUGCCUGUAAUUGAUCGAACAGUUCAGGAGGAAACUAAAGUAGGAAAAUAUACUUUCCCAUCUGGGGUGCGGCUCAUGUUGCCAGUACUCUUAGUGCAUUAUGAUGCCGAAAUAUGGGGUGACGAUUCAGAAAAGUUCAAUCCAGACAGAUUUCAUGAAGGAGUAUCAAAUGCGACAAAAGGCCAAGCUUCAUUCUUCCCCUUUGGUUGGGGACCUCGAAUAUGUAUUGGACAAACCUUUGCUAUGAUUGAAGCAAAAUUGGCUAUGGCAAUGAUUCUCCAGCGCUUCUCCUUUGAACUUUCUCCAUCCUAUACUCAUGCUCCUUACACCAUAGUUACAAUUCAACCUCAGCAUGGUGCUCACUUGAUUCUACGCAAAUUAUAGCAUGAAAAACUUGUCAACCCAUACUUGAUUGAUUUUUAUGAGUAACGAUAUGCAAUUGCUCUAUCUUUUUUUCCCAAUCCAUACUUCAUUGCCAAUCCUUAUGCCAACUGUAACAAAAAGUGAUCCAUCAUUUCUUCUUCUUCUUCAAUGGAUGUGAGGAUCAAGAAUAUGAUUCCAGUGGUGAUCCUUCAUUGAUCUUUAUAGUUGUCUGUGUAUCCGUGUUUCAAUAACUGUACAUGUGUGAGACAUUGUGGGAGUACUCUGAACAGUGAUACCUUUACCUGUUACUUGUGGUUAGGUAAUUCUGCAUCACCGUUCUCCAGAAUCUAUUAUCGAGUCAUUGACAAAUGACAAUGUAAACUUCGUCGAUGCGAAUACUUUUCUGUAUUAGUUUUUAAAAGAACUAUUUUGUAUGUGAAAGACCACUUGCUUCCAAGUAUCAAACCAUCUAAUACUUCCUGGUCUUAAAAAAGAAAAGGUCCAUUUCUCAUGACUCACGAUUAUCCUUGAUGUUGAAGGUUGUUAUUAGUCCCUAAAUCACAUAUUUACAAGAUGAACCCUAUUCUCCAUUAAGCAAAGGACGUGCAACUUGUACUGAAGAAGGUAUAUUGUUGACCAAUUGUGCCAAUGUGUCAUGAGAUACAGCAGGAAAAAUAUCAGUCAACAAAGAUUUAUUAAUAUUGAGAUAUAAAACCUGCUCUAGAUGGUAUGUUUGCAGUCUGAUUUCUGUUUCUGAUACUCAAAGCCUCAAACUCUGUGAUCAACCAUGAUAGGGUUAACGUGUUGCACCAGAUGGACCAAUGCUGAUAAAUCCUUCUUCCUGCUAAUGAUCCCUGGCACUGGUACAACUGUCUCAGUACUUUCAAAUUCCAUACACGUCAAAGUCUAAACUCUGUACCAAUUCAGUCUUACGCCAACCGUUGCUAGUUCCACUGUGUCUCUUAUCAACACAUUUGAAAAGACUAUUUUGCCUUCAUUAGCCAAAGUUUCUCCCUUUUAUUGGGUAGAAUGAUGCCUACGCCUACAAUGCUACUUCCAAUGGCUCCAUAUACUAAUUUUAACCCUUUAGAUAUCAGUUUAUACGCAUAACCCUAAUAAGUAUUAUGCUGUAAAUCAAGGAUAGAUUACUAGUAACCCCUUAUGGUUUCACUCAUUACCGUAUGUCCCCUAACAUUUAUCUCUCCCCUUUCUUUCUUUUUUGGCCAAAUUUCCAACUCCCAAACUAAGCCUGAAUUCAUUCUAAAGGGGUUUAUAUAUUGUGGUGCAUAAACAAAACGAUAAAGAAAUACCAAGGCUAUGAUUUCUUGAAGCAUAGAAAAUUAGGAUAUUAUUGUCAUACAUUCAACCUCCACGGAGUUUCUAAGUUCCACACAUAAAAUGGUCUGAUGCCAAAUCUGAAUGAAAUUGUGAAUCAUGUCCUCCAAGUUCUAAUUAAUCAAGAGGAACCCUCACAAGUAAAAUACACUACAGCUUGUGCAACAUCAAGGGAGCCCCGAACUGGGGUUGAAGUGCUAUGCCUUGGUGAGGGGCAUGAGAAUAAGAUGGCGAAAGUUCAAACGAGAAGCGCUGCAGAAUCAUAGCUAGUGCCAAUUUUGCUUCCAAGAGAGCAAAGUUUGCGCCAAUGCAGAUACGAGGUCCCCAGCCAAAUGGGAAGUAUACAAUUUGGCCCUUUGUUGCACUUGAGACUCCAUCAGCAAACCUCUCUGGCUUAAAUUCCUUGACAUCCUCGCCCCAUAUUUCAGGGUCAUGAUGCAAUAAUAUCACUGGUAGUGCCAGUCGCUGUCCAGCAGGGAUAGUUAGAUUUCCUAUUUUAGUUUCUUCUGCAACUGUUCGACCUAUAUUAGAAAUUGGUGGGUAUAGCCUUAAAACCUCAUGUAAGAUCAUUGUAACCUGUGACAGAUCAAAGAGGCUAAUUAGACAAUUUAUAGGCAAAUUAGAACUAAGCAUAAGUGAAUUAGAACGUUUUUUGUCAUUGUAUGAUUUAUCAUGAAAUUUGGUACAUAAUUGACUUACAAUCUUUAGCUGAUUUAGUCCAUCAAAGUUUGGCAUGUUAGUCCCGAAAUGUUGCAAAACCUCUUCUCUUGCACGUUCUUGCCAGUCAGGAUGCAUGCUCAGUAAGAUCAUUGUCCAAACAAGCAGCACAGCAGUGGUCUCCUGCCCAGCAACAUAGAACAGCUUGCACUCUUCAAUGAUUUCUCCUGUAGUCAUGCCAGAUUCCCCGCCAGUUUCUUGAGAAGUGGCAAGUAAUAAACCUAACAUGUCAGUAUCAAUGGCUUCUCCUGCUCUCAGUGCCUUUAGUCUUGCAUUGAUAAUUUCCCUGAUUGAACCUUCAACUUCUUUUGCAACUUGUUUCAUUCUUCUGUUCCUUUUAGUUGGCAAGAACCUGUGAAAGCGUAAUUAUGUUAGCAAAGUGCCAAAAAGAAAAGAAGGAAAAAAGGAAAAAAAAAAAAACUGUCUUUGUUUGAUUUGCUCUUUUGGGAAAGUUUCUUUCUCCCAACAUAUUAUUUUAACACGGUUUCCAAUCAUUUUUUUAAUCACUUAUACACUACAAAAUCCAUGCCUAGCAAAAUGGUAGAUUUUAGUUAUAGCAGUUUUAUCAUAUUGGGCAAGUGAACUUGAAUUGUUCCCAUAAAUGACUAAUUUUACUUUUUAUCCGUUUUUGGUUGUAAAAUGACUUUACCUCGACCCAGGAAUAUAUAUGGACCUUGUAGCCAAGACCAGAUGUCGAGCUUGUUCUCUCUGUAACUCGAAUAUCUUUCUUCCUUCCUCAUAUCUGCUGCCAAAUGCUGUUCGUGAAAUUGCAUCGCUAGUCAUAGUCUGAAUAGUGGGCCAAACAUCAACCUCAAAUGACCCUUUCACUGAAAUCAUCUCCUCCCAUUUGCUCAACAUCUCACAUGCACUUUUGUAGAAUGCUGGUACCAUAAGCUGCAUCCAAUAAUAACCCAUUUGGAUUGCUAUUUUCUAGAGUUUUUGUAAAAAAAUGUAUUGUAAUGAUUUGAUGCAUACGAGGCAAAAGGUGAUUAGGAAAUGCAUUCACCAAAAACGUAAAAAAUUUUUGGAGAAAAUUCGCAUUCCAAACAAGGCUACGUAGGCAUAGGUUUUUUUUGCCUUUACAAUUAUUUUGUAUUUGCAGUAAACAAAUGUGAGAAAAUUAGAAGAGAAACCUUCAACUUCUCCAUGUGGAAAGCUUGAUUGAGGAGUUUCCUUUGCUUUACCCAUUUCUCCCCCUCAUAGCCCAGUAUCCCUGCGACCAGCAAGCUGGCUUGUGGAUGGAAUUUAACCUUUUGAAAAAUAUCCAUCUUUUGGGUAACUUUCCUUAUGAGUUCAGGAUCCAUGAUCAGCAUCAUUGGUCUUGGCCCAGACCACAAAUAGGUAUUCUUACCUACAAAUCAAUAAUAAACUGACUUUAAAAAAAAAAAAAAACCUAAAAGUCAAAUUAGCGAUCAGUAAUAAUUGUAUUGCAACAACUACACACCUCCAAUGUGAAAUCCAAGCUAGCUAAAGUGUCAAGCUUUAAAAAUAAACUUAGCUAUGUUAAGCAACUGAGCCCAGAAAUUUAUACAUUUUACUUACUUAGAAUCACUUAUGGGAAAUCAACGAAAUGAAUUAGUAGUAGAUUGGAUAACAACUUACCAUAUUUAUUAACAGCUUCUAGGAAAUGAGGUGCAAUUCUUGGUACAAUGCCGUCAGAGAGACUGAUAGGCUUUGAGUUGGCUUCUUGGAACAAGGAUGAUAUCUGUUUUAAGUCUCCAUAGAUCAGUUUGUAAGGGUUCCCCUUAAAACCUUGUUGUUCGAGAUGCUUCUGGAGCUUUUUGGGCUGAAACCAUGCCCAGUUCAACACUCUCCAUGCCAAUACUGAGAGAACAACACAACAAGAAGAAACAAGUGCAAUCAUGAAGCUGUGGGCUUCUUCCAUUUUGAGUUUUUGAUUUUCUUUCUUUUCGGGGUUUAUUUGUCGACCUCCUUGUCUCCAGAUCCAUCACGGGUGUUGGGAGAAGAUUAUUUUAGUCACUGUUGGUUGAAUUCAAUUGCCAGCUGUGGCAUUUAGUCGUGGUUGUGGUCAAGCCUGUCAACCGGAGAUCGUGUCCGGUCGGAAGUCAUUAUUCCGGACCCAGAUUCGCAUAAUAUAACGGAUCCGGAUCCGACCCGUUUAUUCGACGAGUCUUCUAUUCUAUAUUUCGGGUCUACCCGAUAAAAUCUAUUAAAGUUUACAAUUUCUAAUAAAAAUAAGAAAAAAAUAUAUUUGCAAACUAAUUUUUAACUAAUACAAAAAAAAACCAAAUAAGAAAAGAAAUCAAAUUGAUAUUAUUCAAAUAUAUCACCCUAAUCAAAUUAUAUUGAUAAAUAUAUUUUUUAAAUUAUUAAUUCAUUUAUAUCCGAAUCUGGGUCUAAAUACCAUAGUUAUUAAACUCAGCCCGGAGGGGAGACCGGCGAAGGAGGUGGGUCAACAGGUCACUAGUUCAACCGGUGGGUGAGUGGUUGAACCAGUGGGUCACUACAUAUAUUUAAAUAUUAUAUAUUAUAAAUGUUGAUAUAGGAUAUAUGAUAUAAAUUAUAAUAAAUAAUGUCAUAGCAAAUGCUCAUAUAAUUUAAUCUGCUAUAAAAAAAUUAAUUCAUAUAAGAAUCAAUAAAAUAUAAAGUUAUUUAGUAAUACACCAAAUUUCAAAUAUAAAAUUUUAUCUAUGUUUAGUGUAAUUAUCUAACUUAUUUAUAAAUUUUAAGUGCAAAAAAUUAUUAAAAAUAAUAUAUGUUUUUAAAAUGAACUAUGUAAUAUGUUAUUUUUGAAGUCCAUUUCAUAAGUUUGGGGGUCAUAAAUUUUUAUUAGAAGAUUCCAAAUAAAUUUGUUUUAGAGAAAUGAAAAAGAAAGAUAAAAUGGAAAAUGUUUAUAUAUUAUAAGUAAGCAACCUUAUCAUCAUCUCGUCAAGUAGCCUAGCGGUUGCAUCGUUGUUGCAAUGUACUAGAGGUACAAGGUUUGACUCUCGGCAUAGGCAUAAAAUUUUUAUAUGAAACUUGGUUCUUAGACAAAACCGGCCGGGUUUUCGGUUUAAUCCGGUCGAACCGUCGGUCCGUUGACUAGUCAACGGUUUGACUGCUUAAACGAUCCAACUUGAAACCCAGCCCGGUCUCAUGCCCGAUUCAUCGGUUUGACCGGUUCGACCGUCGAGCCAGGCCAGGUUUAAUAACUAUGCUAAAUACUAUAUUCCAUAUCCAAUCUGUUUUUUUUUGUUUGACAAAAUGAAUCCGGACCCGAGUCUGGAUAACUGAAUUAAAUCCCUCCCCGUAGCCGAAAUAAUUUGACGGAUCCGGUCCAAAUCCGGAUCUAGACCUGAACCGUUGACAGGCCUAGUUGUGGACAAAGUAUGUCCUAGAAAAGGGGGAAGAAAAUUAAGUUGAAAAAUCAGUAGUUGUUUCGACACAACAAGGCGGACUGACCCAAUAGUGAUAAUGUGACAGUCCUGCAAAUCUAACCUUUAAUUGAUAAAUAGAAGUAACACAAAAUGAAAGACAAGGAUUGCAAUUUUUUCGAGUUUUUGUAGAAAAAUGUACUGUAACGAUUUGAUAUAUGUGAGAUAAAAAGAUUAUUAAAAAAUAUGUUUAUAAAAAACGUAACCAUUUUUCUAAAUAAGGUCUUAUUUAGAUUGUAGUUUUCUAAGGAAAAACUUUUACGCUUUUUAUAAGCACAUUUUUUAAUUUUUUUUAUUUCAUGUAUAUCAAAUCUUACCAUACAUUGUUUUAUAAAAAUUGCAAAAAAUAGCAAUCUAAACGGAACAAUAAUUCCUCCUAAGACUGGAAAAAUAGCAUGCGUGUGUGUGUGGAUGUAUGUGUAUAUCAAGGUCACCUAUAGAAUCCCAAAUCUACAAGGUUCCCCUCCCAACUCAAGUCCUACAUGUGAGAGUCAGCCAAGCCAACAAUACAACUAUUGGGCUACUAAAAUCAUUUAAUGGCUUCAAAAAAGCCUUAAUAAUAUCCGAUAAUGCAUACUCCAAUUCAGAUAGAGGAAGCCGAUUAUUCAAAAUGGCUAGUAAUUAGCUUGUGAAGAUACUAGUGUGUUCAAUUGAACCUUUUCAAAAUUAAGAGAUAAGGACACCAUCUUUAUCAUAAAGGAUGGAUUGACCUUCAGCCUGAAAAUUGAAAAGGAGUCAACGGAAAGAUCAGUAUAAAAGGAAAAGACGGAUCAACACAAAAAACAAUCACAACAAAAGUUUCGCAGCUUGAACAACUCUGUUCGACUUUUUUUAUUCUUUUUUUGAGCAAAACUGGUCAUUUUAUUGAUAGGAACAGAAAUCUUGUAAAAGAUUAAUGCAGAAAUUCCUACUACAUUAUUAGCUCUCUACGUUAUACAAUUUUAAAAUAAGUUAAAGCAAGUAAGAGGAAGUCCAGCUCUAUGGUUAGAUCCCAGUUCGGCUUGGUUCACCAACUUGGUAAAUCAAGCCAACUAGUUAAACGUAACUUGAAUAGCAUUUUAUGUUCGGUAACAUUUAAAUUCAAUAAAAAAAACCUCGUUCAAAUUUGAUUCGGCAAAUAAACAAACCAAGUUUGAAUAAAAUUUAAAACUUGUUAAAAUAAUCAAAUAAAAUUGAACACCAGAGUGUUUGAUUUGAUUAGGAUCAUUUAGUGUAAUUUUAUAAAUCUCAAGGGAGGUUAGUGUAAUUUUACAAACCUCAAGCGAGAUCAGUGCGGUGAAAUUGUCAGAAACCUCAAGGGAGGCUUCGGAAAUUAUCCCAAAGUAUAAUUGCACAACAAUAAUAUUAACUGCAGUAGUAGUUCAUAAUGACUCUAUUGAUUUUCUUGAUUAUCUAAGCAAAUGAAAGGUCUCUAUAAACAGUAUGUGAUUAGAUGUAAUGUCACUCUUCUAUAUGUGAGAAAUAUAAUGUUAUACCAAUCUAACGUUAAUUUCCAAACAAAAUUAAGCAUACAAGGUGCUUUUUAUGUCGUUGAUAAAUAAACUGUUGUCCCAAGGACUAACAAGUCACAUAUAGGAAUGAACACUAUAUUGUCCACAGAAUCAAGUGAGCUCCAUACUGGGGUUGAAAUAUUACUGCUACUCGGGGAGAAUGAGCAUAAGAUGGUGAAAGUUCAAAGCAGAAGCGUUACAGAAUCAUAGACAUCGCCAGUUUUGCUUCCAACAUGGCAAAAUUUUGUCCAAUGCAAAUGCGAGGUCCCUAACUGAAGAGGUGAUUUUUUACCAGACGAGCUGCUUCGAAUGCCAGGAACGUAUGCCGAAUUGGUGGAAUAGUUGAUCAAGGAUCACUUGCUUAGAUUGUUAGAUACGGGGCCUAAUCCCCUGGUUCACCUCUGAAAGCUAAGUUAGUUCAGAGUAAUGUGAAAAUAAUUCUAGAGAGAGAGUAGGCUACUUUCUUUACCAAGGAUCCGUCCGUUUCUCAGUGGGAUGUCCCGCUAUUUAUAGGGGACAAUUUAGAGGUACAGACUGUGGGGUCCAAGCCCCUGAAGGACAGAUAGAGACAGCAUAUCACCUUGAUGUGACUAAUCUGGACAAAGGGUAGGAUGGCAAAACAGUGGACAGUGUCAGAGGUCACAUCCACCACUGUUUGGGGGUCAAACCCUCUGUCCACAUCUCGGUUAGUGUGGGUCGUAGAACUGUACUGAGGUGAUAGUGGGACGACAAAGUCACCUCGGUGAUCAGGACGCCAGCUCAACCGAGGUGGUUACGACGGGUGAGAUGAUCGUUCCGAACUGGGGCACACUACGGCUUCCCCGAGACGAAAUGGCCAUCCUCAAUAAGGCCCCCAAGCUUCGGUAGGGUAUCAAUUGAUGGUAGCUUGCCGAGGCUUUUACAGGGAAAUGAUAGGAAAGCCCCUGGACGCUAUGAUGAUAACGUGCAGAGUACGAUGAGUCAGGAAGAUGAUGGGACAACUAACUGAUUGAUUGAAUCGUGGACUAACAUGGCUCAGAGAGACGAAGAGUCAGUCGGCUGUUGGUUAGAAUGGCGGUAAAUAAUAAAUGAGAGGCACGUCUUUCUUUAAAGGUUCGACACGCCGUCCUUUGGUUUUCCUCCCCCCUUUUAUAAAUAGGGGUCCCUCCUUCAUUUUUCACCCUUCCUCGCUUUUUACUUCUUACCAUUUGCCCAUCUAAACAACUUCCCAAGGUGACACUACAGCAGAAAACACAAACCUCCUUAGGAAGAGUAAGCUCGUCUCUUUUUCUUUGCCAAUAGCAUGAAUAGCCCGUACCCAUAAAGAAACGGUCAGGCCAGACUUCGUCGGGGUAGAGAGGCCCGAUCCAACCUAGGAGGGAGGGACUUCAUCCAAUCCCGGGGAAGGGACCUCAUCCAACCUUGGGAGGGACACAGUCGGGGCAUCUUAUAAGGCCAAUACACCACAAGCACAAAGUCCAGAAGAAUUCGAGGUGCUUUAUAAUGAUGAACUCGGGACUGAGGUGCCGAUAGACGAGGGCAUGCUGGAACCAGCCACCCCUCCAAAUCUGUCAGCUAUUGACUACGGCCAAGUUCCCAUGUUCAACAGCAUCAUAGGUGAAGCUCUGACAGCAGCACUGGUCUUCAAAUAUCCCUUUCGAGGUGACUAUAGCAUUCGUCCACCCGGACCGAAUCAAACAGCAAAACGCCCUCCGAAGGGGAGGUCACCGUAUAUGCAGAUCAGCUAGAGGCAGGAUUCAGGAUGCCAACCACUAGGUUCUUCUAGUACUACCUCAAAUAUUGGGAGGUGAGGAUUACCCAGUUCGUCCCUAACGCAGUCCGAAUCCUAGUCGGUUUUGAGAUGCAGUGCCGGCAUCAGGAGAUAGUCCCCACAGUAAAGCUCUUCCACCGCUGCUACACCAUCAAGAACAGCGGAAGUGAGAAGGAGUGGUUCUAUUUCGGGAACAGAGUCCCGAAGUUGGUAGUCGAUGCUCCCACUUCUAUAAAGGAGUGGAAGCACAAUUUCGUGUUUGUCCCGAUUGAAGAAUUCCCAAGGGGGUUCUGGUGGAGGCCCCAACUCGGGCAAAAGACACCUCUCCUGGGGACUUGGAAGAAGAAAUUUCCAAAAACUGAUGGGGUCGAGUCUCAAAAUUAACAGUUGGGCCUUCCCCGAGGUAGUUCUCGUGAACGGAGGAAUCAGUCGAGUUUUAAUCAACUCGGAUCACACUCCUUUCUUCUCUACUAGGCUUAAGAAACCUUGUAUCUUUCUACUCAUUAUUUUGUCUUUACCUUUGUUUGAUUCUAAGUAACCUCACCUUUCUUUCAUGCAGUGACAAGGGUAUCCGACCUGAUUACUUCGGGAGCAGCUGUAGUGAACAAAAGGCCAGCAAAACGGAAAACAACUACUGGAACAUCGGCUCAGCCGAAGAAGAAAACCAGUACGGCAAGGUGCCCUACUCCGGUGAUAAUUCCAGGCGAGGCUUCAUGGACCUCGGCCAUUCCGAUAAGAGUGGCGAUCCGAGGUGUGACGACAGCCUCGCCAUCUCCGGGCCAAGGUGUGACUCCGAUUCCUGAAGUCCCCAUCUCCAGAUCUUCCCUGUGGAACUUUCACCAUGUGCCACCUCAGGAAGUCGGGGAAGACAAAAGGCACUCCAACGCACAAUGGUGCCCAGAGUGGGAUCUGAACGUAAACGACCGCUGCAAAAAUCUCAAGGUCGGUCAUGAGCUCAUGGUGCACUCUGUUCUUCCGAGGGACCACAUUUAUGCCAGAAAGCUCAGUUCUUCUGAACUGAUGCAGAGUGCCUCGGUGGCGUGAGCUUCUACUAGAGGUGUCAACGAAUUGAGCUGCUCGCAAAUAGUUCUCGAGCAGUUCGUUCAAAUGAUCGGCUAGAGCUCGGUCAAAUCGAGUUCGAGUCGAUCUCGAACAAUUCGAAUAUUCCAACGAAUCGAAUUCGAGUUUAAAAAUGUUAUGUUCGACAAGCUCGCGAGCUUUUCGAGCUUAAGGUAUAUUUAAAUAUAUAUAAUUUUAUAUUUAUAAAAUUACUUAAAUAUAUAUAGUUGUAAGCUUAAUUACAUGUUUUACCUAUUAAAAUUCAAAAUAUAUUAGGGGUAUUCUUGUCUUUCCAAAUAAUUCAAAAAAAAAUUCGCAUAUUAGACUCUAAUUAGGUCAAGCAGCUUCAAUUCUUGUCCGCCGUCUUCUUUCUUUCAACGAAUCGAGAGCUUCCUCACCUCAGUGGCUCAGUCCCUAUUCCUUAAUCCCCAUUCCUCACCUCAAUCCCUAAUUCCAAUUUCAAAUCAAACCUAUUUGGGUUGCUAACUCUAGCAGUCCAGCCGUUUCAUUUCGCUGUUGCCAACUCCACCCAUUUGUUGUCAAAUCAAACCCAUUUGGAUUGUGCAGCCGUGCGGCGAGCGGAAGCUUGGAUCUUGAAACAAGUGCAGGCGUGCAAUAGGUAUUUCUUGAAGCUUGGAUCUUGAGUUUUUCUCUUCCCUUCUAUAUUUCUUUGAUGUCUAUUGGGGCUAAGAAUACCGAAACGCAGUUGGUUGUAAGACCAAGGGUGCCUUAUGCCCAAAAGCUCAAUGAUACACAAGCUACACCUUUUCUGAAUAUUUGUUUCAUCGAUGGUGAUCAGUGGCUACAACCAUAUAGAUAAUUUGAAUAUCAUGUUAAUUAAGUUGUGGGAAGAAUUUGCAAUGGCUGAAUUCAUAAUUUGGUGUUUUCAAUGAUCUAAAUUAUAAUGAUUGAAGGAUGGAUAUAUUUAUUUGGAAUUAAUUUCUAAAAUGAUUUAUUAUAGCGUUUGAAACAUGAAUAAAUUUCUUGGAAGGAUUCAAGAAGAUUUAACAAGUAAUUUAUCAAUUUAUGUGAGUAGAAGACUUUUUUUUUAAUAAUCAUUAUGUGUAUUAAAACACUUGUAACAUGCUGUAAGGGUCCAAGUAUUUAAAUCUAAAAUAUGUUCCCUUCAAAAAACUUGCGCCGAAGCUUUGUCUCCAACAGAAUGAGGCAUCCAACAAUUCAGUAACUUGUAUAUCUUGCAACUGGCGUAUAUCUAGAGGUCUAUAUAUAAUUGCGUACUUAAUUUUUUGAAAGAUCAAAUAUAUAUUGAUAGGGAUGUACAAUGAUAAGAUGGUGGUGAAAUGGUUAUGUUCUAACUUAUUAUUAUUAUUAUUAUUAUUUUGCAGAAAGUGAAGGCAGCAAAAGAGAUUCUACUUCCCAUAAAAUGAAUGUGAUAAUUGGAAAGGUAUAUUGUUUGUAUUUAAUAUUUCGAUUCUUCUUCAAAUAUCUUAUUUUAGAUUUUACUGCUACUAUUUAAUUACCUAAAUUAUUUAUUUUAUGUAGGGCCUGGAGUUGAAAAUUUGGAAUCCGUAAGCAAAAGCUGGAAAAGAUUAUUGUGGAAUGGAUAACAUGCUACUGUCUUUAAUUGCAAAAUUUGUUUCACAUUUUUAAUUUGAAUGUUGACACUUUGGCUUUGUUUUUCCUGUUUGUGUGACUUGGUGGAUGUUGGUUGUGUGACUUAUCUCUGAAUUUGGAUGUUAGAUUUGAUGUUAAAAUACGGAUGAAUUUGGAUAUUGGUUGGCAUAAUGGCUGAAAAGUGUUGACAAUUUGAUUGAUGCUUUGGACUUUAAAUUGGUAUUUAAAAUUGGUUUGUCUCAAGCCAGUUUAUCAUAUGGAUGAGUUUGGAUUUUGAAAUUUUUGAUUUUGUAAAUUUCUGUGGGAAUGCUUGAAUUAUCGAAUGCAAAUGACAGAUGAAAAGACUAAAUGAAAGAGCAAAUUUUACUUGCUAAGAAUAGCAGAUUGUUUGGUUUAGUUUAGACUUGUAUAAACGAGCACAGUAUUUAAUCGAGCUCGAAUUCGAACUCGAGGAGCUCGAGUUCGAAAUCGAGCCCGAGUUCGAAUUUGAGCUCGAACACAUAUUCGAGCAAUUUCGAGUACGAGCCCGAACCUCACGAUUUUCUUAAGAAUCGAAUUCGAGCAAGUAAAAUUGAUAUUCGUCGAUCUCGAUCUCGAGUUUUAGACACUUUGUCAAACUCGAACUCGAUCAACUUACUAUUCGAGUUCGAUUCGAUUCGUUGACGCCUCUAGCUUCUACUACAGCCUUUUUGUCCGAGAUGACCCAACGCUACACUAAUCUGCUCGAGUAUUACCAGCCGUCCUUCGAGCUUCAAAAGAAGGUCGCCGAACUGGAAGAGAAGCUGAAGGCCACCGAGCAGAAGCGUGAUAAGGCAGUGGCUAGUCAAGAACAUGCCGAAACCACAAACAACUCUCUAAAAAUCGCUCUUGAAGAAGAAAAAGACAGACGCAUUCAAUAGGAGCAGUCAGCUUAGGAGGGCAUAGAGAAGGCUGGAACCUCGGCUGUAGAGGCCUUUCGCAAAUCCGAGACUUUCACUCGUGAUCUCGGAGAGCUAACGCUGCCGAAUUUCAUGUUUGGAUACAUCUCGGCGAUUAACGAUGCGGCACCUUUCCUUUCUACUGAACAAUUGGAGUCCCUCAAAGACAAGUCCAACUUCAACGAAGAUGCCAAUGAGUUGUGCGACCGCAUGGCAGAAGGUAUCCAGACCGGUAGAGACUUGGCUAAGGUCCGGAAGAAAUUUAAUCAGUGGCUCUCUGAGUUUGAUGCAGAAGGCAAUGAGCUCGGGGAGAGCGAGACGGGAGGAGAAGGUGAUGGCAUCGGCACAGAAGAAGUGGGGGAUGGCGAAAGCAGCAAGGCAGGGACUGAUUAGAAACAUCCCUAUGCUUUGUAACUAGCCGCCAAGGCCGUAGAUGCUUAGCAGGGACUGCUGAGAAGCUGGCCUCGGCCUUUUUUUUUGUAACCCCUUUAAUGCCAAUUACCUCUUUUUUCUUUAAUCAUUGAUCACUUUCUUUUUAUGCAUCCUAACCCACUUGUCCCCUUGUUUUUUGCUUAACAACACAGAUGCUAAGGAAAAAAAUAAAUAUUGCAAGAAAUAACGGGUAGUUCUUGAAUAAAAAAAUACUUUUCAAGAAUGAUACAAUUUGAGAUUUUCUGAAUGUCAAGUCCGGGGCAUAAAGAGCCAUUCCGGUAGGUCAAUUUACAAUAGCCAUUAUGGCUAGACUCAACGACUCAGUACAGCCCCUUCUACCUGGGAGCUAAUUUUCCCUGAGUUUCAGUUCGACUGACAGAGUUCUUCCAUAAAAUCAAAUCUCCUGGAUUGAACUGCAGAUUUUUGACUCGUGCGUUAUAGUAGCUAGUUAGAAUUUUCUUGUAUAAUGCCACUUUGGCGGCUGCAGUGUCCCUUUUUUUCUCGACAAGAUCGAGGUCCACUUUCCUCUCUUCUUCAUUAAUCUCAGCAGCAAAGGCCGCCAUACGGGGACUGAGAGUGAUGAAUUCGAUGGGGACCACCGCUUCAGAUCCAUAAGUUAGAGAAAACGGAGUUUCCUGCGUAGCAGGCCUCGGGGUGGUUCGGUAGGGCCAUAAGAUAAUGGGAAGUUCUUCUACCCGAGAUAACCCGGCUUGGUGCAACCUGGUUUUUAAGCCAUAGAGCAGUGUUCGGUUGAAAUUCUCAGCCUGCCCAUUGGCUUUAGGGUGUCCCACCAAAGUAAAAUGUUGAUGAAUGUCAAGGCUUUCACACCAGCCCUUGAAGAAGUUAUCUGCGAAUUACUUCCCGUUAUCCGAGAUGAUCACUCUGGAUAACCCGAAGCGGCAGAUCACCUGCUUCUAGAAGAAUUUUUAGACGGCCAAACCGGUUAUACUCCUCAGAGGCUCGGCUUUGAUCCAUUUGGUGAAAUAAUCCACCGCAACCACCAGAUAAGCAUAGUUGCCGGGGGCUAUACGGAAUAGACCAAUUAUAUCAGUGUCCCAUUGUUCGAAUGGCCAUGGCGAGGUGAUAGAGAUCAUGAGGUUGGUUGGCUGGUGAUAUUCAGGGGCAUGAUGUUGGUAGGAAGGGCAGUUAAAGACCAAGAACUGGACAUCUCGCAGAAUAGUAGACCAAAAAUACCCAAGCAAUAAGGCCUUCUUGACCAGCAUCCGAUAGCCAAUAUGGGCAUCACAAAAUCCCUCAUGUAUGUCUUGGAGAAUUUUUUCCCCUUCCUCUGGCGUGAUACACCGCAGCAGUGGGUUGACGUAAACCUUUUGUAUAAGAGAUUUUGCCGAAGAGCGUAUCAGACUGAUUUAUGCUAAAGUUUUCUUGCUUCGAAUCGAUCCGCCGGAAGCUCCCCUUGACCAAGGCACCGAAUCAGCGGGCCCAUCCAAGUAUCCCUGGAUAAACGGAGCACACGAUUUCUUCUAAAUAGCCCGGCUCGACUAAGACCUCAACGAGGACCGUUUUAUUCAGGUCAGAGAAAGAAGUGGAAGCAAGCUGGGAUAGAGCAUCAGCCCGCUUAUUCCACGAUCGAGAUAUCCUUUGAAUUUCGAUGGACUCAAAGUGUGCAAUUAAUUGGUGAAUUUUGGAAAGGUAAUGCGCAUAACCUCCUCCCUGACCUCAUAUUAACCAAGUAUCUGACACACGACGAGUUGGGAGUCGCUGUUGACCAAGAUGUGCCGAGCUCUUAGCCUACGAGCUAGUUGUAGGCCAACGAUGACUACUUCGUAUUCGGUUUCGUUAUUAGAUGCUGUAAAAUCAAACCGUAGAGCAUACAAACACCGCUCCCCUUAUGAAUUUUCGAAGAGCAAACCUGCUUCACUACCCUCACUAUUGGACGAGCGGUCCACAUGCAGGAUUUACCGCUGAGGCUCGGUUGAAUCUGAUGUAGGCUCUUUCACCUCGUUGAAAGUGAGCUCAGCUAGGAAAUCCGCAAGAGCCUGAGUUUUGAUGGCCGUCCGGAACUCAUAGGACAAAUCAUACUCUCCCAAUUUAAUGGCCCAUUUAGUACAACGACCAGAAACUUCAAGACGCGAUAACACCUGCCUGAGGGGUUGAUCUGUUCUCAAGUAGAUGUGGUGAGCUAAAAAGUAGAGAUUCAACCUACGAGUUGCGUGAAUCAAAGCUAACACGAGUUUUUCUACUUGGGUGUAUCUAGUUUCGGGUCCUUGAAGGACCUGGCAGACAUAAUAAACUGAUAUCUGGGCGCUUUUCUCCCGUAUUAGCACAGCACUUACUGCCUCAUCUGCAACGGACAGGUACAAGUAUAGCAUGUCCCUAAGUCGAGGUAGGGUGAGUGUUGGAAGAUGGUGGAGAUAUUCCUUCAUUUGUUCGAAGGUCUGUUGGCACUAUUCUGUCCAGAAAAAUUUGUCAGCCUUUUUCAACACCUUGAAAAAGGACAAUGCCUUAGCAGUGGACUGCGACAAAAAUCGGUUCAGAACGGCUAAUCGCCCUGUCAGCCUUUGCACGUCUCGGGCUCACCGAGGUGAAAACAUUUUCUGAAUCGCCUUCAUCUUAUCAGGAUUUGCCUCUAUACCUUGCCGCGACAUAAGAUAUCCCAAGAAUUUUCUCGAAAUGACCCCAAAAAUACAUUUUUUGGGAUUCAACAUCAUCCGAGUAUCACGAAAGACCCCGAAGACCUCCUUUAGGUCGGAUAGGAAAGUCGAGAUUUUCUUACUUUUGAGGAGGAUGUCAUCCACGUAUGUUUCGACAUUUCGGCCUAUUUGAGAUUUAAAAACUCGAUUGACCAAAUGUUGAUAUGUGGCCCUAGCGUUCUUUAACCCAAAGAGCAUGGUAGUAUAGCAGUACACACCUUGAUCUGUGUAGAAAGCCGUCUUCUCCUGGUUCUCCUUGCUCAUCCCGAUUUGAUGAUACCCUUUGAAAUCAUCAAGGAAACAGAGGACUUCAUAACCCAUUGUUGAGUCUACUAAGGUGUCGACUCUGGGCAACGAGUAGCAGUCCUUAGAACAAACCUUGUUCAGGUCGGUGAAAUCGACGCAUAUUCUUCAAGCCCCCGUGUCCUUUUUGACCAUGAUUGGAUUGAAUAACUAGGUCGGGUACUUCACCUCCCUGAUCAUCUUUGCAGACAAGAGUUUAUCCACCUCCUCUCCUACUGCUUUACUUCGCUCUGGAUCGAAAUGCCUUCUCUUUUAUUUAACAGGGCAUGUUUGAGGAUCAACAUUCAACUCGUGCAUCAUGAGGUGAUGUGACACACCUUGAACCUCAUUGACAGCCCAAGUAAAAAUGUUUUGAUACUCCUUGAGGAGGUCCACCAUCUAUCUCCUAAGUGAGUCAGGCAAAUGAAUGCCGACGCGGACCGUCUGAUCAGGCUUCGAGACGCCCAGGGGGAUAUCCUCCACCUCAUUUCCGUUCUCUAGCCUCUUCGGCUUCCCGAUUUGUUAGGGAUCGAUGCAAUCGAUCGAAAAUAUAUUGGACCUUCUCUCAGACCUCGGUUUAGAGGUUGAGGGAGAGGCUGCUUGCAAGGUGGCGUAACACUCAAGCGCUGCACAGACAUUACUACUCAUCUCGGCAAUACCUGCCGGGGUUAAAAAUUUGAAACUUAAAUUAUACGUGGAGUAUACUGCACGUAAAGCAUUAAGCGUAGGUCGGCCCAUGAAUAGAUUAUAGGAAAAGUUAGCUUUAACCACGACGAAAUUGACGGGAAUGGUGCGACAGCGAGGGUGAUAUCCCACAGUCACCAUUAGCAUGACCAUCCCUUCAGGGUGUACUACAUGUCCCCCGAACCCUACCAGGAGGUCCUCACGGGAGUUAGCUGCUCCUUGAUUAGCUUCAAGCCGUCAAAAGUUCGGAGAUACAUGACGUCAACCGAACUCCUUGGGUCGAUAUACACCUUCUUGACUAUAUAGUUGUUGAUAAACACUUCAAUCACCAGAGUUUCAUGGCUGUUGGAAGCAGGGAGACGGGGUCAUUGGGGCCGUAAGAUAUCACUUCGGAUAAGCGAGAGUUAGGUCGGCCUAGUCGGGGUUAGUCUGCCUGUAAGUCCUCUUCCGGGAGUUUUGACUGUCUCCUCCCAUCGAAUUUCUGGCAAUGGUGUUGAUGAUCCCAACAAUAUUGGGCCCAUAACCUAGUCCAUGACCCGAGGACCCGUCUCGGGAAGGCCUUCUCGCUUCCCUAGGAUCCUCAGGGGGUCGGCAGCUACUCCUCGACCCACGCCGGUCAUCUCGCGUUGGUCACCCCGACUUUCACGACGAGAGUCGCUCCGUUGGUGACCUCUGUCUCGACGGAUGAAUUGUUUCAAGUGACCUUGUUUGAUGAGGUGCUCUAUCUCUCUUUUGAGAUCAUUGCAAUCUUCCGUCUUGUGCCUGAUAUCCUGGUGGUACAGACAGUAGAGGCUGGAGUUCCUCUUCUCCCUGUUUCCGUACAUCUUCGGAGGGGCACGUCCGAGGUUGUUCUGCUCCAUCACAGAGAAUACUCGGAAUCGACUGGUGUUUAAAGGAGUCAACUCAGAAUCGGGGACAGAUGCCUUCCCCUUGGCUAUCCUAGCAAACACACUUCGACGAUCCCGAUUAGAACUUUAGAAGCCGCCAACAGUACCAACCUCAUUUUGGUUGGUAUCCUUCUUCUUUUGGGAAUCAGGUCCCGAACGAGCCGCUUCGACCUCUUUUUUCAUACGGUGGAGGUCCUCGGCCUGUAUGUCUUUUUCGAUCUUCAACCAGAGUUCCUGGAGCGUGCGAGAAUAUUUCUUGUGUAUCCCGAUAUUAAAUACCCCGACAGCAAGCCCGUGGGUAAAGGCAGUGAUUGUUAUCUGUUCAUUAGGAUCAGGUAUCUACACACUCUCCUCGUGAAACCUUUGUACGCAAGACCGAAGUGACUCUCCCGGAUUCUGCUAGAUAUUCAGCUAGUCGUGGGUCUAAAGGAUAUGAAUCGAUGGAGGAAUCUCUCCACUAGUUUUCCUAGGGUGAAUAUGCUCCUAAGUUCCAAUCCCCAGAACCAUUUUCGAGCAGUGCUCUGGAGGAAUACCAGAAAAGCCCGACAGAUAACUGGAUUAGAAAUGCAAUAUAGUCGGAAAGCCGAGAUGAAAGCAUGAAUGUGGUCUUCAGGAUAAUCUCGGCCAUCAUAAGGAGGUAUUGUGGGGAGGUUGAAAUUCAGAGGGAGCCUUUCCUCAUUGAUCUCGUCUGUGAAAGGCGGGACCCUAAUAUAAUCCAUACCUGAUCUCUCCGGGAGUCGAGGUUCUUCCUCAGGUCGUCGCCCAAAUAAUCCCCGUGAGAAGGCCUUGGAGAGAGAGACUACUUUAGAAGCAGGCUUGGACAAGGCUCACUUCAAGAUGCUCCUCUCCAAACGCCUCCCAUCGGAUUCUUCGUCUGACGGGAGUUCGGGAGAUUCAUCUGACUUCCUCUUAUAGGACUCGACUUUUUGUUUGUUCUACCUCUUAAAAUAUCUCCCCAAUUCCUCAAAGAUAUUUGGAUUCUCUGCCAUUUUUGUCAUGGCUUCUUCGUUUGCUGGUUGAGGUCCUUGGGACCCUUGUCCCUCGGACAUGUUCUCUUCUUAGACCGAAACGCUGGACCCGACCCCAAUGGUGACAAUCUUCUUGCUCCUAGAACCCGUAGGCUUCAUUCUUAGAUGAUAUCGAGUUCCCCCAGACAACGGCAAUUGAAGAGGUGAUUUUUGAUCAGAUAAGCUGCUCCGAAUGCCAGGAAUAUAUGCCGAAUUGGUAGAAUAGUUGAUCAAAGAUCACUUGCUUAGAUUGUUAGAUACGGGGCCUAAUCCCCCGGUUCACCUCUGAAGGCUAAGUUAGUUCAGAAUAAUGUGAAAAUAAUUCUAGAGAGAGAGAGUAGGCUACUUUCUUUACCAAGGAUCUGUCCGUUUCUCAGUAGGAUGUCCUGCUAUUUAUAGGGGACAAUUUGGAGGUACAGACUGUGGGGUCCAGGCCCCUGAAGGACAGAUAGAGACAGCAUAUCACCUUGACGUGACUAAUCUGGACAGAGGGCAGGGUGGCAGAACAGUGGACAGUGUCAGAGGUCACAUCCACCACUGUUUGGGGGUCAGACCCUCUGUCCACAUCUCGGUUAGUGUGGGUCGUAGAACUGUACCGAGGUGAUAGUGGGACGACAAAGUCACCUCGGUGAUCAGGACGCCAGCUCAACCGAGAUGGUUACGCCGGGUGAGGUGAUCGUUCCGAACUGGGGCACACUACGACUUCCCCUAGGCGGAAUGACCAUCCUCACCAGCCAAAUGGCCAGAACGCAAGUCGGCCCUUGGUUGCAUGUGAUACUUCUUCAACAAACCUCUUCGGCUUAAAUUCCUUCACAUCCUCACCCCAUAUAUCCGGGUCAUAAUGCAUUAACAUUAUUGGCAGCACGAGUAGCACCCCAACUGGGAUAGUUAAAUUUCCUAAUUUAGUUUCUUCGGCAAUUCUUCGAGUUGUUGCAGUAAUUGGUGGACAUAACCUUAAAACCUCAUAUAAGAUUAUGUUGACCCAUGAGAAUAGAACAAUAUGCUACGGAUUUUGGUAUAAUGCCAUGAGGGCCUUUCAAACUUGUCUAUUCCAUUCUAGCAUUUGGUAUAAUGCAUUUAGCUGGGAAAGCCCUCUAUACAUGGUAUAUCCAUUCUAACUUUUAUUUUUUUGAAAUCUCAUUCCUCAAAAAAAUUUAGAGAAAGUCCUUUCCACAUUUAUCCUAAAAUACUUAACUAGCAGGAUGUCAAAUUUAUCCUUAUAUAUGUUUAUACUGCAUCAUGAUAUAUUAGCCUAUUUAUAAGCUCAAUUAAUGUUUGAAUGUAAAUUUUUAUAUUACUAAUUUUCCUUGUAUUUAAAAUAAUUUUUUUAUAUACUAGAAAACAAAUGUUUUAGAAUACCUAAUUUUUUGACUUUUGAGUAAUUGUGCAAGAAUUUGAAUCUUACCAUAAUUGAAACUAGAUUAAAAAUAAAUUAUAAUUGUUUGAAUUCAUGUAAUUUAUAUUUUACGUUGCUACUUAUAUUGUUAAAAAAUGCAAAAUUUUAACAAAAAGCUAUAAGACAUAUUAUGUCUUAUAAACUAAUCCAAAGUAAUUAAGCCAAAUUUGUAUUUAAUAUAUUCCAUUCUGAUAUCUAAAUAUUCAUUAUACCAAAUAUUGAAAAAUGAAUAAACAUUUCAUUCUGACUUGUUAGUUUUCAUGUAUGGUUCAUGUUUGACUUAUAGAUAUUAUUAGCAUAACACUUGCAUUUACUAAUACGAAGGAAUAAAUACAAAUUCAAAUGAUAAAUAGGCCAAGGCAGUUGAUUGUAAUUAACAUCUAUACUUUAUAUAAAACUCGAGAAAGGGGUUUGAGGUUGACAUUAGCGUGAACAUUUAUCUCCACUUUAUGAAUUUUUUUUGUCCUUAUAAAACCUACUUUUACUUUAAUUAUUUAUAAUUACCCACGACUAUUUUUAUUUUUAAUUAUUUAAAUAUACAUUUUAAACAUAGUUACCCCUAAACAUUAUAAUUGUCAAUAUAAACUUAUUUUAUGAAAAAUAUUUAAAAGAUUAAAAUUUACUUCAAUAAUAAUUUUUUUAAAAAAAUAUAUGAUCAUAAAUAUUAUGUAUUAUUUUAAUUGCUCAUACAUUAGGUGUGCAUUGAGUACUAAUACAUGUAAGAUUGUCCACAUAUUAAUAGAACUAUGCAACUGCACAAUUCAUUAGGGCCUGAUUAAGAUUAUUAAACUUAUCAACAGCUGUAGCCUUUGGAUUAACCAUAGCGACAAACAAAAGAUGCGGAAUGGAGUUGGGUCACCAUUUCCGUGCCUUUACGUGACUUGACAGAUAAAUAAAAUAAAGUAGCAAGUUGCCGGUUGUCUUACUGGUAUUUUUUUAAAAGUUUUUUUAAUGAUUAAAAAAUUGAUGUGGUAAGCGACAGGAAUCAGCCCGAAUUGAUAUGACAAAACCGGACGAGGGGCCUGGACGGUUGUCAGAGACAACCGUUCCAGGCAGUUCACGGCUAGGAUGAAGUUUUAAAAAUUUGUGCGACUCAAAUCACGUCUUGUAACUCGAUUUUCACAUCGUGUGAGGCCUACAAAAAUGUUAUUCUAUUUUACUCGCUGUUGUUCAAUUGUUACACCUUGUACAGAUGAUGUUACACCAUGUACAAAUGGUGUUACACCUUCCGGAGCGGUUGUUCUGACAACCGCUCCAACCCCGCGUCCGACAAAACCAUUUGCUCUGUACCAAGUUUUGUCAGUCGGAAAAAAACCGCUUGGCCCUCGGGCCCCAUCCUGUCCUCCCACGUGACGAACGCUUUGAACGUGACUAGCGUAAGAAGGACAACGUGAGACACGUGCGUUAAAAAAUCCAUCAUGGGUUUAAAACCGCUUACAAUAUGCCACGGAUUUUGGUGUAUAAUUGACUUGAAAUCUUUUAGGUUAUAGAGACCAUCAAAUUUUGAUAUUUUUGGUCCCAGCAGCAAUUGACUGCGUCGCAAAAUCUCUUCUCCAGCACGUUCUUGCUGAAUGAGAUCAUCGUCCAAACAAGCAAUGGUCUCCAGCCCGGGAAAAUACAGCUGUUAAUACUAGCUAAUAAAAUUUAUAGAGUCUACUAAUUAAUAAUGUUUGAGAACAGCUGUUAAAUGAUUUUUAAGCCACGACAAGCCAUUUGUUUUCUCGAUUACCUAAGAAAAAGGAAAGAUCUCCUGCAAAAUAAAACCAGUAGAUGUAAUAUUUUAUUUCUCUCUUAAUUCGCCAUGAGAAAUACAUUACGUGAAUCUGUGCUGCUGUAUUCAAACAGAUCCAUUGACAUAUCAUAUUGGGCGAGACUUAAACUAAGUUUACAAGCAGCAAAGUUAAGCAUAGAAGGCGUGCUUUAUUUCGUUAAAAGAUAAUCUGCUGCCACAGGGGCUGCUCCAAGUCAUACAUGUGAAACAAAAGCUAUGUAUUCUGCAAAAUCAAGUGAGCUCCAUGCUGGGGUUGAAUUAGUGCUAAUGAGGCUGUUCGAGGAGCAUGAGUAUAAGAUGGUGAGAGUUCAAAGGAGAAGCGUUGCAGAAUCAUAGACAUUGCCAGUUUUGCUUGCAACAUGGCAAAAUUUUGUCCAAUGCAAGUGCGAGGUCCCCAGCCAAAUGGAAAGUAUGCAAGUGCCUGGCCCUUUGUUGCAUGUGAUACUCCUUCAGCAAACCUCUCAGGCUUGAAUUGCUUCACGUCCUCGCCCCAUAUAUCAGGUUCAUGAUGCAUCAGCAUUAUUGGCAAGGUGAUUUGCACUCCAGCCGGGAGAGUUAAAUUUCCUAAUUUAGUUUCUUGAGUAGUUCUUCGACUCAUUAUAGCCACUGGUGGAUACAACCUUAAAACCUCAUGCAAGAUCAUGGUGACCUAUGACAAGGGGACCAAAAAAAAAAAGUGUGAGAGUAAUUAGGUUGUCUAUGUAGACGAGAAGCUUCGAUGAACUUCGUUAGUACGUCUCUCCUGCCAUUAGUGCAAUUUUUCAAAUCAAUGAAAUGAUCAUUGCUAAUUUUAUGUUUUUCAAAGAAAAAGAUUGGCUUACAAUUUUGAGGUGAUUUAGCCCCUCAAAGUCCGGAUCCUUAGUUCCAAAUUGUUGCAAGACCUCCUCUCUAGCACGUGCCUGCCAUUCGGGGUACCUGCAGAGUAAGACCAUUGUCCAAACGAGUACAGCUGAAGUAGUCUCCUGGCCAGCCAAAUAGAACAGCUUGCACUCAUCAACAAUUUCUUCGGUAGUCAUACCAAAGUCCUUGUUUCCAUGCUUCUCGAUUUCUUGAGAAUUGGAUUGAAGCAUUAAUCCCAACAAGUCAUCAGAGCCGGCUUCUCCUGCUCUCAUUGCCUUUCUUCUUGUGUUGAUCAUUUCCCUAACUGAACCAUUAACUUCUAUGGCAAUCUGUUUCAUUCUUCUGUUCCUCUUGGUUGGCAAGAACCUAAUAAAAGAUCAUAGUUUAGCAAAAAAACAAAAGCAAGAACAAACUAUGUUUGCAAUAAUGUACAUCCUGGGAUGUUGAUUUCUAGGAGAACCAUUGAUUUCUAGAAGUCACAAUUUUCUACAGCACUCAAGAAUUCAUGAUCAAUCUACCUAAAUCCUGGGAUGUUGAUGUACACCGACCGUGCUGCCUGCAUCACAUCCUCAGUUUGCUCUCUCUGGAGCUCAAAGAUCCUUCUUCCUUCUUCAUAGUUGCUGCCAAAUGCUGUACGAGAAAUUGCAUCGCUGGUAAGAGCUUUAAGAUUGGGCCAAACAUCCACUUCAGCCAACCCCUUUGGUGAAACAACAUUCUCCCAUUUCGUCACCAUCUCACUUGCACUUUUAUAAAAGGCUGGAAGCAUGAGCUAUUUAUCCAUAAAAGAAAAGAAAAUCAGUGAAAGAAACUACUUCAUAUUGAAGGCUACUUAGUAAAUAAAUGAUGCAAUUUACUAAGGACUGUCCAAUGCAGAGAGUGUUUUCAAUUUUAGGAUAUAAUAAAUGUGUGUGUGUGAAUUUACAUGAUAAUUUUACUAUAAUUUACUCACACUAAUGAGUAUUUACAGGUCAUCGGUUAAAAAAAAAAGAUUAAUCUUUCUACACUACCAGUAUAUACACCGACGGAAUUGGAUGAAUACCACAUGAACUUGAAAUCCAUAUUUGAAAGUAAAAUACCUAUAAAGAGUCGGUACUUUAAAUAGGUAAUGCGUAUUUGCUUAUAAACUAUACUUCUUAAAGUUUAUUAAUUGUUAAUUAAUUUGUGAUAUUUUGUCAUUCAUUGGACAUGUAGUACAAAGGACAAAUUUGGUAAAAAAUUCUAAUUUCACUCCCUAAAUAUAAUAUUUUAAUCGUUUGGACUGAAUUUGCAAAGGAUUAGUAACCUCAGGGGAGGUCAGUGUAAUUUUUUAAAUUACAGGGGAGGUCAGUGCAAAUGUCAGAAAUCUCAGGGGAGGUUUCUGCAAUUAUCCCUAAUUUUUAAGUACACCAAACUGGAAAAUUUUAUGACCAUGGUUGUAUUGAGUGUAGAAAUGAGGUGGAACUGAAUAAAAUUCAUGUGACAUUUAUGUGAGUUUUAGGUGGAAAUCAUAAGUUAUGAUUCGAUUAAAUAAGACCAAACUUCAAUUAAGUGAUGCUAUUAAGUUAUUGAGUUAUAGUACCAUGUAUUGAUUCAACCUUCAUACCUUACUCCUAAUCAUUAUAUACAAAAAAAAAUUAAGAUGGGGCAACAAAAUUAGGGAAAGAAUGGAGUGUUUGGAUAGUAAAAAUAUCUCAAAUAAUAUUUUACUUGUAUCAUAAAAAUAUUUUUAAUUUAUUUUUUUAUAUUUUUAAUCACUUUUUUAUUUCACAUAUAUCACAUUACAAAAAAUAUUACGAUAAUUAUUUCAAAGGUUCCGUCUAUGGUGGAAAGCUGAGUCAUCUGCCCAUGGUGGGAAGAACAAAGGAAAUGAGGACAACACAUCACUGUGGAGCCAAACAAGGGACAACAUGAAAAAGAGAUACCGGAAACCGGAUAGAACAAUGUGCCAAUAAUAAUCAAAAAAUAAGAGUGCAUUUUCUCGAAAGACAAAUUGCAAAAUCCACCUGUUGCCUAGCUGAUCCCAGUUGUUGUCCGAGUUCAAAUGCACGUUCAUCUCCACGCCUCACCCGAGCUGCGCUUACCUAUUAAAAUUUACUUGUCUGUGACCAUUUUUUAAAUAUUGCCUCCAUGCCCACUCCUGAUCACCAAUUUGGAAAAUUUAUUCAAUAUGCCUUUUGCUUUACACAAAAGAGUAUUUAAAUUUUUUUAUUAUUAUUUCAAGUUAGGGGGUGGUACUUAUCCAUUAUAAAUAAAUUUUUUAAAAUUAACGAUUAUGUAUGUCCAAUAAUGGAGUUCAAUUAUUUCUCAUUCUAUGCAAUAUUCAUUAGAAGAUUUUGGGGGACUAGUAGUUGCCGCCUUCUCAAAUGAAAAUUUGGGGUUUGGUAGUUGCAGGUUAGAUCGAAAUUUUUUAUUUUAAAUGUUGACGCCUUUAGAUUGAAAAUUCGGACUCUAAACUGAAAAUUUCGAAUUUAAAUGAUGGCGCCUUUAAAUUAAAACUUUUGUAUUCUAAAUUCUAGAGCCUUAGGAUUGUUUGACUUAUCAUCAGCAUAUGCAUAUAUACACACACACUUGCUUAUAUAUACAUGUAAGUUUAUCCUACUCUCGCAUGACAUUUUGUAUAUAAAUCACAUAAUCUUAGAGAAAUGGAAAAAUGAAAUGAGAGAAGUAUUUCAUGAAGCAAAAAAGUUAUUAAUUGCAUCAGAAUUUCCAGAUUCCCCCGACUAGGAAGACAUGGUGUAUGAAUAACUGACGAAAGCAAUAAGUUGUUAGUAUUAUGAAUAAAUAUUUAAUUAGAAAUUGGAUGAAAAUUAGAUUUUGCUUAUGCAUGUAAGAGUUAAGUCCCUACAUUUAAAAAAAAUUAAUAGGAAAGAGGUAGGAUUUAAGAAAUAGUGGGUGGGCAGAGGAAUUUGAAUCUAAGAUCUGUAUUUCUUAGGUCUCAAACUUAUGGUCCUUAUCUGCCUAUUAUGCAUUUUGAAUGAUAAAUUAUCAUACAUGCACUACCAUCUGAUCUAAAAAGGAAAAAAAAAAGGUUCCCGUAUAUUGUUUAAACAUAACUAAUAAUAUUUUAUUAAAAUAAAAAAUUAAAGACAUAUUAAUUUAAUAAAUAAAUUUUUUAUCCAAAUCAAAAAGGAAAGACCCAAUGAAAUUUUGUACCAUAAUAUAAAUGGUAAUUGUGACGAGUUUCAAUUGAUGAAAUAUUACAAGAGUUCAAAUGGAUUUGUGUAUUAACAUGAGAAAUCAUUUACACAACAAUCGAAAACGUUCCUUAAUUUUCAAAAUAAGAAGAAAGAAAGAGAAGGGGAAAAGUAAAAGAAAAUAAAUGAACUACUGGACACCGGGGUAUAAACGGUUGAUUAUGUGGUUUCCUUCUAUUUCAACGAGAAAUAAAAAGCAAGCCCCUCAACAACUUAUGGACACUUGUUUGCACCCAAAAAUCGGCAUCAGCUGGGGAGCAGCUCCCAGGCCAAACUGGUGAAGGACAAAAUUUGAAGGGCAAUUUUAGUAAGUUAAAAGCCUAUAAAUGUAUUUAUGUGUACUCCAAUAUCAAGGAUUAAAUUUAAUUGUUAGUUCGCGUAGAUGAGUAAUUAUAUACAUAAGGGAGCAGCUCCCAGGCCAAAUUGGCGAAGGACAAAAUUUGAAGGGCAAUUUUGGUAAGUUAAAAGCCCAUAAAUGUAUUUAUGUGUACUUCAAUCUUAAGGAUUAAAUUUAAUUGUUAGUUCGCAUAGAUGAGUAAUUAUAUACAUAAAUAAAUAAAAGGAAUUAAUUUGUAUAAAAAUUUUAUUUUUCACAAUAAUUUAUUGAAGAAUUUUGGUUCAUAAGGUUAUAGUAAUUUGGUAAUUACAAUACUUAGGGUAGUUAUAUUGGCAAAAUGUGAUUAAGCAAUUAGAGGAAAAAUUAAAAGUUUUUCCCUAAGGAUAAAAUUGAAAGUUUAGAAAAUGAUUUUAAAAAGUUUAUACUAACAGCGAUCCCUCUAAGUAAGUGCUCAUAGAUAGUGAUUUUUUAAUUGGAAUCAAAAUUGUAGAUGAAUAAUUAGAAACAUAAUUAACAUAGUGUUACAAAAAACCAGAAUCGUGACAUAAUUGACUUGGUAGAUUUUAAUUUUAAUUUAGAAAUCAGAUAAGUAAUCUUAUACGUAACAUGGUGACUUUCAAAUCGAUAUCAAAUUUGUAGAUGAGUAAUCAUAAAUAUAAUUAACAUAAUACACCAAGAAACUAGAAUUGAGAUUGUAGAUAAAACAAUCAUAAACAUAAAUCACAUAAUACAAAAGUUUCAAAGAUUGAACGUUUGAACUAUUGAAAUAACUAGAUGGUUAUGAAUUUAAAUUCUAACUCUGCAACUAGUUAUACUGGACAUGACAAACUAUAAAUCACAAAUCAAAGUUUUUUAAGGGACACAAAAAUUGAUAGUGGAUCAAUGGAAGAGAUUAUUGAAAAGAUUAAGGUGGUGUUUUGAGUGGGGGGGGGGCGCUAUGCUCUUCGUUAAAUGUACAAUUUAUUAUCUAAAAUUCACAAUACAAGCAAUAUAAAAUAUUAUUCUGUUUAUGAUAUGUUUCCAAGGAACUUAAGAAAGUGAGUGUGUGUUUGUAUACAUUUAUGUACGUGAAAAUGUGUUUAUAUGUUUUAAAAAAUCUUUUAUGUGUGUUAAAAUGUAUUUGAAAAAGUUUAUGUAUUAAAAUGUAUUAAUUAAUAUGUUGGAUCAUAUUUGGGUCAUGGAUUUGAGAUUACCCAAUAUGACCUAAUCCAAAAUCAAUCCAAUCUAAAGUUGGGACAGGUUGGGUAUAACCAAUUUAAGUGAAAAUCCAUUAUUAACCCACCCAACCUGCCCAAUUGCCAGCUAUACACAAAAGAGUAUUUAAAUUUUUUUAUUAUUAUUUCAAGCUAGGGGGUGAUAUGUAUCCAUUAUAAAUAAAUUUUUAAAAUUAGCAAUUAUGUAUUUCCAAUAAUGGAGUUUAAUUAUUUCUCAAUCUAUGCAAUAUUCAAUAGAAGUUUUGGGGGACUAGUAGUUGCUGCCUUCUCAAUGAAAAUUUGAAGUUUGGUAGUUGCGGGUUAGAUCGAAAUUUUUUAUUUUAAAUGUUGACGCCUUUGGAUUGAAAAUUCGGACUCUAAACUAAAUAUUUAGAAUUUAAAUGAUGGCGCCUUUAAAUUAAAACUUUGUAUUCUAAAUGCUAGAGCCUUAGGAUUGUUUGACUUAUCAUCAGCAUAUAUAUAUAUAUAUAUAUAUAUAUAUAUAGACACACACACAUGCUUAUAUAUACAUGUAAGUUUAUCCUACUCUCGCAUGACAUUUUGUAUAUAAAUCACAUAAUCUUAGAGAAAUGGAGGAUGAAAUGAGAGGAGUAUUUCAUGAAGCAAAAAAGUUAUUAAUUGCAUCAGAAUUUCCAGAUUCCCUCGACUAGGAAGACAUGGUAUAUGAACAACUGACGAAAGCAAUAAGUUGUUAGUAUUAUGAAUAAAUAUUUAAUUAGAAAUUGGAUGAAAAUUAGAUUUUGCUUAUGCAUGUAAGAGUUAAGUCCCUACAUUUAAAAAAAUUUAAUAGGGAAGAGGUAGGAUUUAAGAAACAGUGGGUGGGUAAAGGAAUUUGAAUCUAAAAUCUGUAAUUCUUGGGCCUCAACCUUAUGGUCCUUAUAUGCCUAUUAUGCAUUUUGAAUGAUAAAUUAUCAUAUAUACACUACCAUCUGAUCUAAAAAGGAAAAAAAAAAGGUUCACGUAUAUUGUUUAAACAUAAGUAAUAAUAUUUUAUUAAAUUAAAAACAUUAAUUUCGUAAAUAAAUUUUUUAUCCAAAUCAAAAGGAAAAGAUCCAAUGAAAAUUUGUACCAUAAUAUAAAUGGUAAUUGUGACGAGUUUCAGUUGAUGAAAUAUUACAAGAGUUAAAAUGGAUUUGUGUAUUAACAUGAGAAAUCAUUUACACAACAAUUGAAAAGAUUCCUUAAUUUUCAAAAUAAGAAGAGAGAAAGAGAAGGGGAAAAGUAAAAGAAAAUACUGUAAUAGUAAAUGUGUCUAACAAAUUUUAAAAAUACUUAGUGGAUUUACUUAACCCCAUGAAUAAUUGAGUUUUAAUAUGCGUUUAGAUUUAAAUGAGUCCUUCGAAUCCACUGACUCAAAACUCAGAUUAGAAUUCAAUUUAAAUUUUGAUUUCGACUUGCUUAACGAGUUAAAUUAAUAAUUUUGAUAAAAUAAUAAAAUAAUAAUUUUUUGAAAAUCCUAUAUAAUCGUUUGAUUCUAUUCAUAUUAUAAAUUAAUAAUGACUUUUACUGUCCUGUCUGGAACAUUCUUUAUUCAUUUGACGACCCAACAGUUUAUAUUGGUAUUUGCCGUUAGUCCCUUAACAUGAUAACAGCCUCUGCCAGUAACCUUUGGGUCCCAAAAACACGGACAAAGAUGCUCAUGCUGACUUGUACUUCUAGUGGGCAUUCUGCCUACGGUGGGAAGUUCAGCCCACUUUCCACCGUAGAAGCAACCUUAUUUCAAAUAAUACAUUAUACAUCUAUCCAAACAAAUUUUCGUGUUGAUCAAAUCUCGUACAGGGGAACAAUUUCGAGCUUUUUGGUACGUGUCACAUAAAUAUAGUAGUGUGACAGCUAAAGUAGACAGAGAUAGCUAAAGUAGUCAGAUGUUCUGAAAGAACAGAAAAGACCAGCAACUACCAAUGAUUGUGCCCCCAACCACCAACCUGUGUCAGCAGUUAUUGAAGGCAAGUCAUAAUGAAAGUGAAACUAUGGGAUAAUUGCAGAAAACUCCCUUGAAGUUUCUGAUAUUUGCACUAACCUCCUUUAUAGUUUGAAAAAUUGCAAUAACCUCCCCUAAAUUUAUUAAUUCUUUAUAAAUUCAGUCCAAACGAUUAAAGUAUUAUUUUAGAGAGUGAAAUUAGAAUUUUGUACCAGAUUUGCCCUUUGUACUACAUGUCCAAUGAAUGACAAAGUAUUAUAAAUCAAUUAACAAUUAAUAAACUUUAAGGGGUGUAGUUUAUGGGCAAAUAUGCAUUACCCAUUUAAAGUACCGGCUCUUUAUGAAUAUUUUACUUUCAAACAUUUAAUUUAUGAUAAAUAUAUCAAUAUUUGUAAGUAAAAUUCAAAAAGUGUUACAGUAAUAUUCUUACAAAAAAGAAAUCGGUGGAUUAUCUAUUUAAUAUAAAUUAAAUAUUUUUCAAAAAAGAAAUGACCCAUAAAAUAUUAAUUCUUUAUGACUUUCAUCCAUUAGAUGAGUAAAGUAUUAGCUCUUUAUGAGCAUUUUAUUCUGAAUCAUUUAAUUUAUAUUAAAUAUAUAAAUAUUUGUAACUAAAAUUCUUAGACUUCAACACUCACCUAUAAAGGACAUUUGAGCCUUUAAUAUUCUUGUUUAUGGUGAAAUGAUUUUUCAACUCGUUCACUUAAAUUACACUUAAUUUACUAUAUGAACACACAUAAUACAAUUAUUAUAUCCUCUGUAUUUAAACGCUUUCCUAGUUGCUAUACUUUUUUUAAAAAAAAAUUAGCACUCUUGAGGCCCCCCUAACAGAGGGGACGAUAAAGGAGAACAAAUCAACAAAGCUCGAUUAUCCUGCAAGCUUCAUCAGAAGUCUUUUUCUAUCUGCCUUCUAGAAAAGAGUCGGUUCAAUAAAUAGAACUUGAGAAUUUGACUUUUGAUUUACCGUAAAAAAAAAGGGAUGAAGAAGAAGACUAUAACCGGCUAAUUCCACAUAUAAAUGGCUAUUGUUAGAAUAGCUACUCUUUGAGCAGUCAUCCAUGGCUAUUAUUAAUGUGCUAAUGUGUAAUAACAAUUUGCACCCCUCAGCUAUCAUUAAUUAGUAAUCUGAACCAUAAACAAUUAAUUGUAGCACUGUUGAACAAAAAAGUAAUUGUAGCACUAAAGUACAUUAUGUUUCUGCUGAAAUCUAUUUAAAGAAAAAACAUUUUGUGGCUACAGUCAAAUGAAAAGAUUUUAGUACCCUAAUGUAGUUGAUGCAGAUUAGGAGUAUCAAAGUCUUUUUCACUUAAAAAUAGCAAGGGAAAUUCAAGGGUUUGAAAAUUAGCUAAACAAAGUGCUGCAAAUUGAUAGCACAAGGAACAGAAGUCCUAAAACUGCAAAUGUUGCAAUAAGCUUUGGAUGUAAUUUUAAAUACCUGAGCAUGAGAAGGUCGCAUGUAGAACUAUAUUUAAGGAUCAAGAAAUUUGAUGCGAAAAAUGGCUAAUUUUUUUGUUACAGUCUUGGCUCUCAAUGGUUUGGAAACAAAAAGAUCAAUGUGAAAUUUGUUUUUGAUCAAUUGCGUCCUAUAAUGCAGUUCAUUAAUAAAUAUGAUAAGAAUCCCAGAACAUUAACAUUUGUCCUUUCUAACCUAUUAACAUUAAUACUUUGCAAAAUAGCAAUAACUCAAAGGCUAAUUGCUCUGAUUAUUGUAAAAAAAAAAAAAAAUGUUCUGACAAUAUAGUGGUAUAAAACUAUGCCUGCCGGGUUGACUCAGCCCGGUAGGCAAGAGAAUUCUUUUUUUUUUUUUUUAAAGUUUGGCUGUCGGGCUGACUUGCCCGGCAGCUAUUGGAAAUUUUUUAAAAAAGCUACACGUGUCAGUUUAUUUUUUUUUAAUUAAAAACUUAUGCUAUCGGGCUUCAGCCUGCAGCUUAAUUUUUUUUAAAAAAAAUUAAAAACUCAUGUUACCGGGCUUGAAGCCUGAUAGCCUUUGUGGUUAAUUUUUUUUUUUAUAGUUCAAACGUAAGAAAAAGGUCCAGAUAAAUUUGCUAAAUCAAUUAUUUUUAUUUUAUGUUAAACCCUAAAAAAAGUUUUUAGAUAAAAAAAAACCUCAUUCAAUUUAAAAGAAGAUGCAUUUCCCAAAUCUUUGAAAAUUAAUUGUUGAAAUUAUUAUGUAUAAGAUUUGGUUAUAUAUUUUUUAUAAAAUAUAUAGAAAAUUAAUAUUUGCCUAAAUAAAAUAUACAAAUAAAUUAUUAUUUGGCAGUGGGUUGUUAUAAUAAUAAAGGUAAAAAUAAAUAUGAUAGUGGGUAGUUAAGCAUAAAAGUAAUUUUUAAUGUAAACUAUAAUUUUAUAAAUAUAAAAUUAUUGUGCAAUAUAAAAAUGAAAAGGCAAAAAAUAGAAAAGAAGAAAAAUUUGAUAAUGUGAAAUGGUGAAAUGGUGAAAUUUAAAAAUAAUGAUACUUGUUCAAAUAAUAGAAGUUUAAAAUAAUGCUAAAUAGCAUAUUGAAAUGUGAAAACUCAAAGAUCUCAUGUUAAGAAUUCAUGCACAAUAAAUGCACACGCAAAUUAUAGAUUAGACACAAAAUUUUAUCAACAAUUUAUUUUAUCCAAACACAUAUUGAAAUCCUUGAGUUAAAUCGUUCAAGAAUUAAAAGUCUAGCUAGUAGAUUUUCAUGGCACAAAAUGAUAGACUCUGUUACUUUUACUAUUAGAAAAUGUGACAAAUAAAUAAUUUGAUAAUUUACACAACAAAGAUACAUCAAAUAAGUUGAUCCUCAUACGACAAGAUCAGCCAAAGCAAAACUUGCAUUAUUCCAUCUGGAAAAAAAAAAAAAGAAAAGGAAAGGAGCAAGUGAACUCCAUUGACCGAUAGCUUUUUUGGGCUAAUGGUGCAGAUGAACCCCAAUUACGCCAGCAAAAGUUUUUAAUUAAAAAAAGAAAUUUAAGCUGGCUGCGGGCUUACGAAGCUCGGCAGCCUGCAAGUUUUUAAAAAAUAAAAUAAAGAAGUUAAGCUGUUUGUCCAAAAUUCCCAGUAGCUACCGGGUUGGCUAAAAAAAAAAAAAAAAAUUCUCUUGCCUACCGGGCUGACGAGUUUUGUACCACUGCAUUGAUAGAACAACAUUGUUCCGAAUUUUUUUUUUCAACAAUAAUCUAAGCAAUUAGCCUAAUUCGAAAAUCUUCUUGUAAUUGCACCAAAAGUUUAUUAAACCUUACAGAAGCAGCAACCUAAAAGGCUAGCAAGUUAAGCAACAUGUAGCAAUUACAGAUGUUCUGUCACAUAAUCAAUAACACACACACAUAGUUCAAGUCCUGGAAUCGCUGGCGUUCAUGAAGGAGAUGAUUCAGAUUACAGGUUUAUAUUACAGUUUCUUCAUAAUCAACUGAGCACCAUACUGAGGUUGAAGCAGGGUAAGAAACAAGUAUGGGGCAUGCGUAUACAAUGGAGAAAGCACAAAGGAAAAGCGCUGUAAAAUUAAAGCUAAUGCCAUUUUUGCUUCAAGCAGAGCAAAGUUUUGCCCAAUGCAUAUCCGAGGUCCCCCACCAAAUGGCAGAAAACACGGCUGGCCCUUAGUAGCCUUUGCAACUCCCUCGCUAAAUCUCUCUGGGUUGAAUUCCUUUGCAUCAUCACCCCAUAAACUUGGAUCAUGAUGUAGCAAGAUUGAAGGCAUCAAGACAAUCAUUCCAGCAGGUGGAGACAGUUCCCCUAAUUUAGUGUCUUCGUUAACCUCCGGGAAAUCAUAACUCCUGGUGUAUAUAGUCUUGGAACCUCAUUAAGGAUCAUAGUCACCUGUAAAAGAAGAAUUACAAAUCGAUGCUUAAAUGGAGUGUGAACUUCGUUCCAAGAGAAGAAAAUUGUAAGAUAAGUAUCCAGACAAUGUCAACUAAUAGCUGUUGCCUACUAGAAAGCAGAAACAUUACACUACACUCGGAUAUCGUUGUGCUUCAGGUAAUGGCAAAAGUAAAACAUGUCCUGAGUGAAUGGAAUGUUAAGCUAUGAUAUUCCUUAUGAAGUCUUCUGCAUCCGAACCCACGAAACCAAUUAUUCAUCAAAAGAGAACCUAAAAAACAAGUCUGAAAUGUGGCCAACAUUCAUGAUAUUCGAGUUUAGUCACUGCAGAUUGGUGAUACAAAACUGAAAUUCUUGAAUAAUAUCAAACUAUUCUGUCAUCAGAGCUUGUCCUCUUGAUAAAUUGAAGCUACUUACAAUUUUCAGCCAAUUUAAAUCUUCAAAAUCCGGUAUAUUGUUGCCAAAGACCUGAAGAACCUCAUCCCUAGCACGAGCUUGCCAGUCUGAAUGCUUGCUCAACAAAAUUAGCGUCCACACAAGCAAGAUUGCAGUUGUCUCAUGUCCAGCAAAAAAGAAUAGCUUGCACUCCUGAAUGACCCCUUCAGAAGUCAUCCCACACCUUUCAUUCCCAUGUUAUUGGAACUCCUUGAAGUUGGGUUCUAGAAGUAAACCCAACAAGUCACUAUGAAAAUUUUUUUCAUAUUUUUUGUUUCUUUUAUGGAAUAUCGAGUAAUGUGAUAGGACGAUUUUCUGCAGCAAAUCAGCCUUGGAUUGAUCUCUUUAUAGAUUAAGAGAUGUCACAUGUUGGUUAUAAUCAUCCAAGUGAUGACCUUUCAUUACUAAAGUUGUUACUUCUAUUCUAAUAGUACUUGAAUGAUUAAUUGUAGUACUUCACACUUGAAUGAACAGCCACAAAUUUUGUUAUUUUGUGAACCUUGAAACCUUUCAUCUUUUGAAAAUCUCCAACAAAUUCAUGGUGAUUAAAAGUUUUGCAAAUAAAGCCAACUCAACUGAGAUAAUUAGAUUCUCUGUAGUUUAAUUUCUUCAACAAAUGUUUGACCAGGAAGAAAAAAUGGUGAGUAUAGCCUUAAAACCUCAUGCAAGAUCAUUGUGAUAUGUGAGAAAUGGAAGGAGACUACUUAAGACAAUUUAUUGGCAUAUGAGAAGCUGCAACCUAUCAUGAGUUGACUUAUAAUUUUUUAGGUUAAAAGUUCUUUUACGUACAAUAUGCUAUGGAUUUUGGUAUAUAAUUGACAUACAAUCUUUUAGGUUAUACAGACCAUCAAAUUGUGAUAUUUUUGGUCCCAGCAAUGUGUUGCAAAAUCUAUUCUCCAGCACGUUCUCGCUAGUCUGGGCAGAUGCUGAAUACAACAGCUUACACUCUUCAAUAAUUUCUCUUGUAAUCGCACAGAAUUUCGUCUUGCCUAAGCUGCAUUGGAGAUCCACUUACCACGAAGAAAUAUUUUUGAAUACUAGCUAAUAAGAUUUACAGACUCUACUGAUUAAUGUUUGAGAACAGCUGUUAAAUGAUUUUAAGCCAUGACAAGCCAUUUGUUUUCUCCAUUAUCAAAGAAAAAGGAAAGAUCUCUUGCCAAAUUAAACGAGUAGAUGUAGUAUUUCUCUCUUAAUUCGCCGUGAGAAAUACAUUACGUGAAUCUGUACUGCUAUAUUCAUACAGAUCCAUUGACAUACCAAACUGGGCGGGACUUAAACUAGUUUACAAGCAAAGUUAAGCAUAGAAGAUGGUGCUUUAUUUCGUUAAAAGAUAAUCUGCUGCCACACGGGCGAGCAAGUCAUACAUAUGAAACAAAAACUAUAUCUUCUGCAAAAUCAAGUGAGCUCCAUACUGGGGUUGAACUAGUGCUGUAGCUGUUCCAGGAGCAUGAGUAUAAGAUGGUGAGAGUUCCAAGGAGAAGCGUUGCAGAAUCAUAGACAUUGCCAAUUUCGCUUCCAACAUGGCAAAAUUUUGUCCAAUGCAAAUGCGAGGUCCCCAGCCAAAUGGAAAGUAUGCAACGUGGCCCUUUGUUGCAUGUGAUGCUCCUUCAGCGAACCUCUCAGGCUUGAAUUCCUUCACAUCCUCGCCCCAUAUAUCAGGGUCAUGAUGCAUCAGCAAUAUUGGUAAGGUGAGUUGCACUCCAGCCGGGAGAGUUAAAUUUCCUAAUUUAGUUUCUUCAAUAGUUCUUCGACUCAUUGUAGCCAAUGGUGGCCACAACCUUAAAACCUCAUGCAAGAUCAUGGUGACCUAUGACAAGGGGACCAAACAAAAAAAAAAAAAAGUGUGAGAGUAAUUAGAUGUCUAUGCAGACGAGAAGCUUCAAAAAACUUCGUUAAUUAGUAUGCCUCUCCUGCUAUUAGUGCAAUUUUUCAAAUCAAUGAAAUGAUCAUUGCUAAUUUUUUAUGUUUUUCAAAGAAAAAGAUUGGCUUACAAUUUUGAGGUGAUUUAGCCCAUCAAAGUCCGGAUCCUUAGUUCCAAAUUGUUGCAAGACCUCCUCUCUAGCACGUGCCUGCCAUUCGGGGUACCUGCACAGUAAGACCAUUGUCCAGACAAGAAAUGCAGAAGUAGUCUCCUGGCCAGCAAAAUAGAACAGCUUGCACUCAUCAACAAUUUCUUCGGUAGUCAUACCAAAGUCCUUGUUUCCAUGCUUCUCGAUUUCUUGAGAAUUGGAUUGAAGCAUUAAUCCCAACAAGUCAUCAGAGCCGGCUUCUCCUGCUCUCAUUGCCUUUCUUCUUGUGUUGAUCAUUUCCCUAACUGAACCAUUAACUUCUAUGGCAAUCUGUUUCAUUCUUCUGUUCCUCUUGGUUGGCAAGAACCUAAUAAAAGAUCAUAGUUUAGCAAAAAAACAAAAGCAAGAACAAACUAUGUUUGCAAUAAUGUACAUCCUGGGAUGUUGAUUUCUAGGAGAACCAUUGAUUUCUAGGAGUCACAAUUUUCUACAGCACUCAAGAAUUCAUGAUCAAUCUACCUAAAUCCUGGGAUGUUGAUGUACACCGACCGUGCUGCCUCCAUCACAUCCUCAGUUUGCUCUCUCUGGAGCUCAAAGAUCCUUCUUCCUUCUUCAUAGUUGCUGCCAAAUGCUGUACGAGAAAUUGCAUCGCUGGUAAGAGCUUUAAGAUUGGGCCAAACAUCCACUUCAGCCAACCCCUUUGGUGAAACAACAUUCUCCCAUUUCGUCACCAUCUCACUUGCACUUUUAUAAAAGGCUGGAAGCAUAAGCUAUUUAUCCAUAAAAGAAAAGAAAAUCAGUGAAAGAAACUACUUCAUAUUGAAGGCUACUUAGUAAAUAAAUGAUGCAAUUUACUAAGGACUGUCCAAUGCAGAGAGUGUUUUCAAUUUUAGGAUAUAAUAAAUGUGUGUGUGUCAAUAAAUGAGAAUUUGAAACCCAUAAAAUGAUUAAAUUAGAGAGAAGAGAACCUUCAAUUUCUCAACGUGGAAAGCUGGGUUGAGGAGCUUUCUCUGUUUGGCCCAUUUUUCUCCCUCAUAGCUCACUAGUCCUUGAGCCACAAGUCUGCCGAGUGGAUUAACAGGGAGCUUCCAGAAAUCAUCAAUCUUUUGUGUAACUGCCUUUAUUAGAUUAGGGUCCAUGAUCACCACGGCAGGUGUCGGCCCAAACCAUAAAUAUGUAUUUUUACCUGGAAGUCAGAGCCGCUUCGAUUAGGGGCCGAAAACUAGAAAGUAUAAAUAGUCAAAUGCCUUCCACUCAGAAAGGAUAAUAAAAUCAAGUGUCUCAAAAAAUAAAAAUACAAGGGCAAAAUACUAAAAUAAUUCAAAUUCUUCAACAAAAAUUUUUUUUUUUGCAUCAAUCAACCUAAUAAACUAUUUAAAGUGAUUCAAUCAGCUCAUUUCCAUCACAUUCCAUCAAAAUCUUCGAUUAAGUUAACUAUUCAGAAUGUCAAGUACGAGCAAUUGGUAGGGAUAAAAUUGACAUUUCUUCUCAUCCACCUCCCUAAUCGACUAAAAUUCUUCAUUCUCAUCAACUUAACUCCCAAAACCUUGAGAAUUUGGUGGAGUGCAAUUUCAACUCUUUUAAGGUUCUUUUAAGGUUCUUGAGAAUUUGAUCGACAGAUUUGUUUUUUGUUCCUGCCAAAUUGCACACAUCCAUUAGCUUUACGGGACAUGUUGACGGAUCGAAAAAAGAAUUGAAAAAAGAUUCACAAAGAUAGUAAAACAAACAAACCACAAAUAGAAAUUAAAAGAAAACAAGAAAGGAAACUUGAAGUCUAAAGCUUAUUGGGAGCAUAGAUUUUUGUCGGAACUUUAAUCCUUGUUUUGUUUAUUUGAUCAUUUGAUUGCUUAUUUAAUCUGAUCAUAAUUGAUUUCAAAUUCAAGAUUCAAUCUUCAUUGUCAAAUGACAUGCAUAAUUACUGAUAAUCAAUUAAUUAUUAGGACGAAAUAAUAAAUAUCAGCUGUAUUGAGGCCCUUUAUGACAAUUCCAAGUUGUAAAACAAUAACAAGCGGAAAAAAAAAAUACAAAACGACCAAGAAAAACGACCAUCCUAAAAUACAAAAGCUGAAAGGGAAUUCAUACACCCUAAUACUAUAAUAUUACUCGUAUUUAAGUACGAAAUACAUCAGUCUGAAAAAUCAAUUGUCCGUACAGGUUGGAGACAUUAGUAUAUCUCAUUUACUAUUUUCCCUUUUUUUUUUCUCUUUUUUUGGGUAAGUAUCUUAGUCACUAUUUUUCAACAUCGAAAAGAAAAAGAGUAAAAGAAAAGGAGGUAAAUGAUAUUCUAUCUAACCAAAAGCAGAAAAAAGGGAAAAAAAAUGGAGAUCAUACGAGGGACAAAAGAGGUUACGAGGCAAAGAGAUGGAAGCAGAGUUGAUGAGAACAAUAAAUACUACCAUAUUUCUUAACGGCUCCAAGAUAUUGAGGAAUAACUCUUGGUACGAUGUCGUCGGAGAGAUUAAGAUUCUUGGAUUGGGCUUCUGUGUACAGGGUGGACAUCUCUUUGAAGUCUCCAUGGAGCAGCUUGUAAGGGUUUCCCCGGAAACCUUGCUCUUUCAGACGUUUCUCCAGCUUCUUCGGCCUAAACCAUACCCAGUUCAAAGCUUUCCAUGAUACUGCUACUACCAGAAGAAGAAGAAGACAAGAAGAAUACACAGUAAACAUUGAUACACCAUAGGGGGUUUCCAUGUUGUGUUUUUGUUUUGUUGGUUUUCUUGUGAGAUUUCUACCUUUGUUGCGUGCAAAUUUAUAUUCAAGUUGGGGCGAUGAUAACCUUUGGUUUUGUGCGUCUGCACCGCCAUCCGUUUAUUACUUGGAGAACAGUAGGAACUUUUAGCUCAGCACAGCAUGAUUGGCUUGGUACACGAGAAUUUGGAGCCUAUUUCUAUAUAUUUCUCGGAUUUUAGAGCAAAGUUUUUUUUUUUGGGUGCAAUUGAGGUCCUCCAAGCCAAUUUAAUUUAACUGGACCUUUAAGGCAAUUUAAUUAGAACAAUUUUGUCACAGAAUUAGAAGGACAGUCGAACAUUGUAUAAACCCUAUCGGAAAAACAAACAUAGAGUGGAAGUUUUAAUUAAAGGAUAAUUUUUUAUGUGCUUUAAAAUGUUAAACAGUUAUUUUUCUUUGGUAAGUAAAUUUCUAAACAAUUAUUUUUGUACAGAAACACUAAUUUUGCUAACCUUAAAACGUUAUAUGCGUUCAAAUCUCUCCUCUCCUUUCUUAUUUUUUAAAUACCAUCCCUUCCUUAUUAAUUUUUUUUUAUUUUUAAAAAUGAUGCAUGUGUGAACAUAGAGGAGGUGACAUUCAAAGCAAAUAUAGAAAACACUCUCAAAUGUGGAUAAUUCUCAAGUACACUAAACAUGGAAAAUUUUAUGAACAUGGCUGUAUUGAGUGUAAAAAUGAGGUGGAACUGAAUAAAAUUCAUGUGGCAUUUCUGUGAGUUUUAGGUGGAAAUCAUAAGUUAUGAUUCGAUUAAAUAAGACCAAACUUCAAUUAAGCAAUGCUAUUGCGGUGUAGUAUCGUGUAUUGAUUCAACCUUCAUAACUUACUCGUAAUCAUUUCAUAAAAAAAAUAAGAUGGGGCAACAAAAUUAGGGAAAGAAUAAAAUUUCGUGUUGAAUAUCCAAAUCUUGUACUGUAGAACAAUUUCGAGCUUUUUGGUACGUGUAACAUAAAUAUAGUAGUGUGACAGCUAAAGUAGACAGAGACAGCUUAGGAAACUAGCAGGGUCAGAGGAUUUAGAAGGACAUAAAAGACUAGAACUCAAUUUCAACAAAUUGUUUAAGAUUGUACUAGCAAGAACCAAGCUGUGUCAGCAGUUAUUGAAGGCGAGUCACAAUGAAAGCAACUAUUGAAAGUGAAAAAUGAAUUUGCAAAAAAAUUAUCUAAGAGGUUGAAAGAGUAGAACUUGACGUACAUUCAACAGUUAUAAUUGUUCAAAAGUCAUGAUGCAUUAAUUAGCGGUGACACUGCGAUUAAUCAUUGGGGGUAGUCUGGUGGUUAGGGGAAGAUUUAUAGAGUCUCUCACUGUUAGAUUUAGGAAUUGAAUUGUGUGGCUGAAAAUUUCUCAUAUGCUUGAACAUGUUAGGGGGAAGAAAUUGCACUUAGAACAUGUAAGUAUUAUAUCUCAAAAUCAACACAAAAAAGUGAAAAUCAUGAAUUCGCUAAAGAAAGAUAUGGAAUUUGCAAAAUCGAAUAUUUUAGACGAAAUCAAUCUUAAGUACAGAGUUAGCAUAAAUUUCAACAAUCCUCUGAUUUUAAUGCCUAAAUAUUCAAUUAUUACAUGGGAAAAAUCCGGAACAUGGAAUGAGUCAAACUAUGUGUUUGAAUUGGAGAUGAUUUGAGAUAAUUUUUCAAAAAAAAUAUUGUAUCAUACACUAUUUUUUGAUAUGAUGUAUAUAAAGUAAAAAAAUAAUUAAAAAAUAUGUUAAUAAUGAAAAUAAAUAAAUUUCAGUGAACAAAGCACCGUCCAAACAAACACACAAACUAGAUGACCUAUGCCAUGACGAUGGCAGACAAUCUUUCUCGAGGAAAAAUAUGACCAAGCUUUGUUUUCUUUCCAAGUAUGUUAAAUUGAUCCUUAAAUAUAUCUAUGCCCUUUAUGUUUUGAGCACUUUAAUCCAAACUGUCUUUUCCUCUUGUCUUGGGAGCUCCGCUGAAAUAUGAUAUUUGUGAGGUGAAAAAUAAAUUAAUAAAUUAAAACCAGAAGUCAUGAAGUCAACGUACAGAAUGGGAUAAAUUAUGGUAAAUUACAAUAUGAGUCCGUUGUUCUAAAAUUUUAUCACACAAUCCCCCUAUUAUUCCACAAUAUCCAAUUGAUGCCCAGUGACUUUGUGUAAAAUUCAGAUUAGCCGAAAAGCAAGACCUGAUAAAUUACAAAGGAAUGUGCAUAGUUGUUUUAAAUUUGAAUACCUCAUUAGUCGUCUCAAUGGUUUAUUAUUUUUUUUAAAAAAAUAAAUCUGAAGAUUAAAGCUUCUAGGGAGAGUUAGAUGUCUUUAAAUGGAAAGUACGUGUUGAAAGACAAAAGGGAGUGCUGGAGUACUGGCAAAUGGCAACAAAAUAGGGAACAAAUCAAAAUGAAUUGUUAUUCAAGAAUCAUAGAGAUUUCCAAAAACAAAAUUUUUUUUUUUUUAGAGCAGCAAAUUAAUUAAGUUGUUACAUGGUAGUCCUUUUUAAGUAUAGAGCAAAACUAUGGCCCUUUGAGUAGAAUGGUUUUUACCAAUUUGGAUAAACUUUGCAAUUGCUAUGCUUAAUUUUGUUGUCGAUUUCGUGUGACUAUUUAAAAUUGGCAUGCCAUAAAGGCCGAAGAGUGGGAAUUGCUGUAUUAAAAUUCUAUAGUUUCGAUUAAACUUCGUAUUAUCGUCUUAAAGUAGAGAAAAUGAGCAUAUCACUAACUGCAAAAUGAGGUUAACAUAUUCAUUCCUUUUUUUUUUCAUAAUAGGGGAGGUAUGUGGGUUUAAGAAGUAGCGAGGGAAAAAGGGAGAUUAAAACCUAAAAACUCUAUAUUUAGGGUCUCAACCCUCAAAUUUAGCCACUAAGCCAAUGUCUUCUUGGCGCAUAUUCAUUUCAUUUGAUGAUUCUAAGUGGCCUUGCAGUGGAUAGUUAAUCAAAGCCGGACUAUGACCUAUAACCCUCAUUUGGGAAAAAAUUUAGCUUUAAUUAUUUCAUGUAUUCAAAAUCGCAUUCAAGGUUGCAAUCAAAUUGACAUCAUAGUUCCAUCUAGGUUACGAUGUAGCAAUUGCCAGUUGAAUCAUAGGCAUAUUUUAUAUUUACGAUAUCGAUUGUUAUGAAAAAAAAGUCAGAAUCGGCUUUGAAAUUCAUUCUUGAUUGUUUCUAGCAGAAAAAAGAAGAAUGACAAAAUAUUUUGGACCCAUAUUAGAGCACAUUUAUGUCGAGUAAUUACAUAGUAUUGCUAGCCAAGAAAAAUCAAAUGAACAUUUAAAACGCUACGUUAACUAACUUGUCUUUUAUUCCCCCACUAUUUUGUUCUCUUAAAUUGAAAUUUCAACAAUCAUUAUAACAUUUUAAACGAUAAUAACAAUAUAUAUAUAUAUAUAUAUAUAGCUAAUCAUAUUUUUUACACAUUUCCUCAGAGUUGCAUUAUGCAAAGGGUCAAACCACAAUAUUCUAAAAGUUUUGGUCUUAAAAAUAAAAGUCAUUCUCCUUUUAUUUGACUAAUUCUUCCUGCUGGCCUGCUUCUCUUCAGCCUAAAAUUGCUCCCCACUUGUUCGUAUUCUUCGUGUUCUAUUCCGCGACAUUUUCCAUUUCCUACAUUGUUAAACCGUGGAACGAAUUGCAAGCCUGCAAUGUUGAAGGCAAAUUAAACAAAGAGCUCUUAAACAACUUCAUUUUAGAUCUAAGAGAAAAUAUCAAUCUUCACAACUUCGUAGCAAAUUAAACAAAGACUGAUAACAAGAUUUCUUGUUUUACAGUUUCUUUAAGAUCAACUAAGCUCCAUACUGGGGUUGAAGAGUGAGCACAACUUGAGGAGCAUGUGCAUAACUCGGCGAAAGCUCCCAAGAAAAGCGCCGUAAGAUCAAAGCCAGCGCCAUCUUUGCUUCCAGCGUAGCAAAAUUUUGCCCAAUGCAAGUUCGAGGUCCCCAACCAAAUGGAGAACCUCAUCUAAUACCGGCUUCAUUGUUGUCAAAAACCUGUAGAACCUCAUCUCUGGCACGAGCCUGCCAAUCAAAAUGUUGACUCAAUAAAAUUAAUGUCCAGACGAGCAAUCCUGAGGUUGUCUCUUGUCCAGCCAAAUAGAAUAGCUUGCACUCUUCGAUGACUUCUUCAAGGCUCAUGCCGUUCUUAUUUCCACGUUGUCGGAUCUCAUUCAAAUUGGAUUCCAACAAAAUACCCAACAAGUCAUCACUUGUAGCUUCACCUGUUUGAAUUUCCUUCAGCCUUUCGUUGAUAAUGCCCAUAACUAUUGAGUUUACUUCCUUGAAAAUCUUCUGCAUUCUUUUGCUUCUUUUUGUUGGCACAAAACUGUAACGUGCCUCCACCCUGGAAGGUAAAUGGAUUGCAUAACUUGCUCAAAAUACAAAGCCUGUUCUCUUUGGAGUUCAAAAAUCCUUCGCCCUUUUUCAUAGUUGCUACCAAAAGCUGUUCCGGAAAUUACAUCACCAGUAAAUGUUUGAAGCUAAGGCCACACGUCUAAUUCAAAAGAUCCUUCUGCGGGGGCAAGGUCCUCCUAUUUGCUUAACAUCUCAUUACAACUCAGAUAAAAUGCUGGCACCGUGUACUAUUGUGAAGCAUCAAAAGUGAGAACGGAAAUAUUAAUCAGUCAAAUUUUAGAAUUGGAAAGGCUGGAUUUGGUUCUAUAUCUGAACUAGAUUGGAACCAUAACUACAUUUGUAUGAUGCAAAUACCAAACACUAGCCAGUCCCAUGUCUGAUAAAUAACAAGAAACAGCCAAAAGCAUGUAAGAUAUUGAAACAACACCAAAUUUCAGGAGAAAAAGCAAGAAACAACCUUCAAUUUCUCUACAUGAAAUGCAGGAUUCAAUAAUCUUCUGUGUUUGGCCCAUUUUUCUGUAUCCAGGCUAGCAAGUCCUAGUGCUAGAAGUUUACUGAUUGGAUUUGCCCGAGGCUUCUGAUAAGUAAAAUUUUUUGUGAAGACCUCCUUCACUUGUUCAGGAUCCAAGAUAACCAUUGCCGGCCUUGGUCCAAGCCAAAAAAAGCUAUUUUUACCUACAAAAUAAUUUUUGAUAAGCAACUUAUCCACUCUAAAAUAAAAAGAUUGGGUCAACCAUAUAUGAAAUGCAUGAUUGCUGAAAAACACAGCAAACCAAAUAGUCUUCAGGCAAAUUUGGAGAACAAACCUUUAUGUUGCAUUGUUUCAUUGAUGAAGGGCACGAAUCUGGGAAAGAUAUCAUCUGUUAAAGAAAUUGGUUUGGACUUAGCCUCCUCAAGCAUCCUUCCCAUGUCUCUGGUGUCUCCAAACAAGAACCUGUAAGAGUUUCCCUGUAGACCUUGCCGCCUGAGGCGUUUCUCCAUCUUCUUUGGUGUGAUCCAAGCCCAAUUCAAGAAUCUCCAUGCCCCGAUGAGAAGAACUAUAACUGACGAAACUCCAAUCAAGCUAUAGAAAAAGUCCAUUUUCUCUGAUGCGCUUCCACUCCUUCAGUCAAACUUUCUGCUGGCAGGGGGAACUUGCGAAGCGGUUAGUUAUUAAGGAGGGAGAACCUCAACUUUGGGACACAUAAUUCUGAAAUCUAUGCAUAUCCAUCUGUAAAAUCAGCAAAGACAAAGUAGCUUGAUGGUAUGUUCUAUGUUUACGGCAUCUGCUUAAAUGGAGAUGCUCUGAGGCUUCAACACUCGCCUAUAAAGGACAUUUGAGCCUUUAAUAUUCUUGUUUAUGGUAAAAUGAUUUUUCUACUCGUUCACUUAAAUUACACUUAAUUUACUGUAUGAACACACAUAAUACAAUUAUUAUAUCCUCUGUAUUUAAACGCUUUCCUAGUAACUACACUUUUAAAAAAAAAAUAAAAAUUAGCACUCUUGAGGCCCCCCUAACAGAGGGGACGAUAAAGGAGAACAAAUCAACAAAGCUCGAUUAUCCUGCAAGCCUCGCAAAUCAUCAUCAGAAGUCUUUUUCUAUUUGCCUUCUAGAAAAGAGUCAGUUCAAUAAAUAGAACUUGAGAAUUUGACUUUUGAUUUACCGUAAAAAAAAAAGAAGAAGAAGAAGACUAUGACCGGCUAACUCCACGUAUAAAUGGCUAUUGUUAGAAUAGCUACUCUUUGAGCAGUCAUCCAUGGCUAUUAUUAAUGUGCUACUCCUGAAUGACCUCUUCAGAAGUCAUCCCAAACCUUUCAUUCCCAUGUUCUUGGAUCUCCUUGAAGUUGGGUUCUAGAAGUAAACGCAACAAGUCACUAUGAAAAUUUUCAUCAUAUUUUUUGUUUCUUUUACGGAAUAUCUAGUAAUGUGAUAGGACGAUUUUCUGCAGCAAAUCAGCCUUGGAUUGAUCUCUUUAUACAUUAAGAGAUGUCACAUGUUGGUUAUAAUCAUCCAAGUGAUGACCUCUCAUUACUAAAGUAGUUACUUCUAUUCUAAUAGUACUUGAAUGAUUAAUUGUAGUACUUCACACUUGAAUGAACAGCCACAAAUUUUGUUAUUUGAUAGUGAUAUAAUUAUGUGUUUUAUUUAUUGGUAUUUGGUCUUAAUUUUGGUUACUUAUUGUGCAAGACACUGAAUUUCUGCCCAGAUUUGAUAUUUGUGUUAUUGACAGACGAGUGGUGUUAAAAGUGACAAGAAGAGAUAAAUUCCAGAAGACUAGGGUCUUGUUUGGAUUGCCGUUUUCCGUCGAAAAAUUACGUCGUUUUCUGUGAUCACAUUUUCUUAUUAUCUUUUUCCUUCACAUAUAUCAAAUCGCUACAAUAAUUUUUUCAUGAAAAAUGAUGAAAAAUAUAAUCCAAACGGGGCUAGGCAUUCUACAGCGCCUUGAAGAUAAAGUAGCGAGUUGCCAGUUGUUUUUUUACUAGUAUUUUUUUUUAAUUUUUUUUAUAAUUAAAAAAUUGAUGUGGUAAGCGACAGGAAUCAGCCCGAAUUGAAUCAUUGAUAUGACAAAACCAUUUGCUCUGUACCAAGUUUUGUCAUUUUGUCAGUCUACAAAAACCGCUUGGCCAGCGGUCAAAUUGGCGUUAUUUUUCCUGCAGAUUGCAUUUUCUAGAAUUUAUUUGUAAAAAAGUUACUAUGACAAUUUAAUGAAUGUAAGAAAAAAAAAUGUGAUAUUUUUUUGUUCCAGCAAUGCAUCGCAAAAUCUCUUCUGUAGCACGUUCUUGCUGAAUAAGACCGUUGUCCAAACAAUUCAUUUAAUUUCAUCAUGUCUAAUUAAGUUCCAUUGGAGAUCGACUUACCACUAAGAAAUACUUUUUAAAUACUAGCUAAUAAAAUUUAUAGAGUCUACAAAUUAAUAAUGUUUGAGAACAGCUGUUAAAUGAUUUUUAAUUAAGCCAUUUGUUUUCUCGAUUAUCAAAGAAAAAGGAAAGAUAUCCUGCAAAAUAAGUAAAACCAGUAGAUGUAAUAUUAUUAUUUCUCUCUUAAUUCGCCAUGAAAAAUACAUGCAUUACGUGAAUCUGUCUGUACUGCUGUAUAUAUUCAAACAGAUCCAUUGACAUAUCAUAUUGGGCGAGACUUAAACUAAGUUUACAAGCAUAGAAGGUGCUUUAUUUCCUUCAAAGAUAAUCUGCUGCCACAGGGGCUAGCAAGUCAAACUAUCAUAUCUUCUGCAAAAU
rnacentral:lncRNA from 1 species